rnacentral:lncRNA from 1 species
AUAUAAAUUACAUGAAUAUCCCUAAUAAGCUAAUUACAAAAAUGCUCAUUAAAUAAACUAUUUACAACCGAACCAACAUAUAUAGUUCUUUUUUUUUUUUUUUUUAAGGUCUCAGAUAUAUUGGGUAUGAGAAAUUUUUCAUUCACAGAGAAUCAGAGUGGUGCAUGACUUCCUCAGAGAAUCAUCAUAGCCUCAAUUAACUUAUAAACCUAAAUACGAGAUAUAUAGUUAAUUAGUUGUAACUGCAGUUUGUAAAAAGCUAGGUACAUAAUAGAAAAAAGUCCUGCCUCAGAGACUUGCUAGGAGAUGAGCAACCAGGUUAGCACACCCCUCUUCGUGUGGUAAAUUUUCACAUUUGGAUAUGAGAUUAACACCUCCCCAAUAUCAUCAUAUAGCUAGCCUUCCCAACAAAGAAGUAUUUGAACUAGCUUGAGCAGAAAUUUGUCGUUGCACCAGAGAUGAGUCUGUCUCAAUAACAAAAGCCAUCAUAUUGUGUUCCAAAGCAAAACCCACAGUAACUUGACAUGCCAAUGCUUCAGCAUGUUCAGCUGAAAGCAAAUUUUGAAGUCUAGCCCCUCCAGCAAUCCUACUUACCUAGUCUCCCCGGCCCCUCUAUUUUAUUCUCCAUCUAUAUUAAUUUUAAGAACACCAACUAGGGGAGGAACCCACUGCACUAUUCUUUGCGAGCUUGUACUCCCAACUCUUCCAUUAUGGACCCAAAAUUCUGCUAGCCACGCACUACCACGAAGAACAACAUCACAAGCCGGAGAUGACUUCUAUUCCCAAAACGGGCAAUCAAUGAUGUAGGGCUAGUAAGGAUUCGCCAAGCCUGUUUUGCCAACAUCGCUGAAUUAAACUCUGUUUAAACUGCGAAAUCCCCCUUCCUCCUUUGGGUUACACAAAGCAUCUCAAGACUAUCUAGAGUACUGCUCCACAAAAAUCUUGCACACAUCUGCUCCAGGUUUUCACAAAAACCUUGAGUGAGUUUAAACACACUCAUUGCAUAUGUUGGUAAAGCUUGAGCCAUCACCCUGACUAAGAUAUCUUUUCCAGCUCCACUCAAAAAUUUACCUUGCCAAUUCUCCAACUUUUUGGCCAAGUUAUCUUUAUUAUACAGAAAAGUUGCUGUCUUUUUCCGGCCUACAUAAGUUGGCAAGCCCAAGUAUUUUUCAUGUGCCUCAACAACCCCGACUCCCAAUAAGUUCGAAUGUCCUCCUGUAUUGACUCUGUAACAUUCUUACUAAACACAGCAGAACUUUUAUUGAAAUUUACCACUGACCUGAUGUUCUCCCAUGUAUUUCAAGCACAUCCUGUAUCUAAUGACAAGCCUCCAAACUCGCAUUUGCAUAUUACAUACUAUCGUCAGUGAAGAGUAAAUGAUUCACUGUCGGGGCAUCACAACAAAUCUAAAUGCCAGUAAGUAGACUUGCCCUAAUUUGUUUCUGUUGUAAUAAAGCUGAAGCCGAUCCUGAGUACUCAUGUAUUUACUGCUAUAUAUAUAUAUAUAUAUAUAUAUAUAUAUAUAUAUAUAUAUAUANAAAUUGAAAGUUCUAGAGUGUGGACUCAUAAAUUGAAACAAUGGAAUCCACAAAAUUCCAUUUUUACCACAACAUAAGUAUAAAUGUCAUAAAGAUUUUGCGCCACAUAACUUUGUCAUAUGUGUAGCGAAAACUCGCCGUCCAUCUGUCAGUUUAAGCAAAUUGUUUUUCCUGAUGUCUUCGGCAACAUCUUGUAGAUGAGCUCCACUCUGAAUUGCAUAUUGUUCCAAGUUAAGAUUGCUGAUCAACCGGUUGGCUGUUUCUGGUGGCACCAUAGCUUGAUUAACUUGAUGAUCUUCUGUUUCUGUUAACAACCAUAUUUGAUAUGGUUGGAAGAACUUUUCUCUUUCUCUCCAUCCAAUAGUACUUGCAAUGCUGAAUGUGAGAUAUUUGGAGAGUCUGUAACUUUUUGCUACAUGAUACACCAUUGUUUUAAUGAAUUGAGGAAAAUCUUUUAUGGUAGCAUAAUCUAAACUUUGGAAAAUAACCUGGUUAGUUAUUCCCCAUUCAAUAGCUGCAAGAUUCCAUUCAUCAUGGUUUAUGAUGAAACUCAGUUUAGGGAUUCCAUCAUCCUUAACAUUCAUAAAUUCUGAAUGUUCUAGAAACAUGUCUUGAAUUACUUGACCAUGAUUAUGGAUUUUAACAUAAAUACCUGUAAAGAGAUGAUAUGGAAGAUGAUUUUUUGAUUUUUCAAAAAGACAAAUUCUCUUAAUUUGUUCAAAAGUUGGAUCAGAUAUGUCCUCUAAUAGUUCUGAUAGCUGGAGAAAACUGGUUAUCUUCUCUAGCGUGAAAUCUUCACUCCAAUUUAUUUGCUUAAGAACUUGAAGACUUACAUGUUUAAAUUUGUAAGUUUUAACUUUCUCAGCAUCUAGCUGUGCUGCUAGAUUUGAGAUCUGAGUAAACAGCUGGGUUAGCUGUACUCGGAAUUCUUUCUUUAUUCUAGCAAUAUGGCUUUUCCAUACUGUAUCUAUGGUGUUAUAAACAUCUCUAGGGAGUCCUGGAUUGUAGAAGUCUCUAAUCUCAGAUGAUUGAGAUAAGUUGUCUUGUGUUUGCUGCACUUGACAUCUUACUUUUGUUGCAAUGUAUUUUUGAUAUUCUAAUGCUGCAAUAUCAACAUUAGGAAAUCCUUGCCAGAAUGCUCCACGAUACCUGCUAAUAGAAGCAGCACAUUCUGCCCAGUUAUGGAAGAUUCCUGUUUUGAAACCUUCAAAUACCACAUAGCAUUUAUUAGCUGGUUUAGCUCUAUUAUGAAAAUAAGGCUGGUUUGGCCUCUGAGAUGAAUUUUGUACUGGCGCUUUUUUUAGCGACAGUGAUAUAUAUAUAUAUAUAUAUAUAUACAUAUAUAUAUAUAUAGGACCCUUCCAAUGAGGGAUCCAUAUUUUUGUUCAUUUUUAGGGAUAGAUCAUUUGACGAAUUUUUCGAUCACAAAAUCAAAUCUCCACCAUUCAGUUCGUUGGGCUAUAUGAGUAUAUCAUUUCUACAAAUUUUCAGAAAAUUUGGUGAUCGUUAAAUCAUCCAAAUGAGGGAUUUAUUUUUAAUAAUCUUGAACGGUGUAGGUUUGACAUAAGUGUUAAGUUUUUAUUUUAAUCUCAACCAUUCAAGCUCAUUAAAAAACAGAUCUAAUGGUGUAGACCUAUCCCUAGAAAUGAACAAAAAUAGGGAUCCCUCANNNNNNNNNNNNNNNNNNNNUUGGUCCUUAUAUAUAGAUCAUUUCUGCAAAUUUUCAGUCAAUUUGGUGAUCGUUAAGAUGUCGAACAAGAUUAAAUCAAUGAACAAACCAAAUCUGCCAGACCUGAACCGUUCAUGCUUAUAAUUAAAAAUCGUAGUUUUGAAUGCCUUAACGAUCACCAAAAUUUCUGAAAAUUUGCAGAAGUGAUCUACUCAUAUAUAACUACAUAUUGAACGGUGGAGAUGUGAUUUUGUGAUCAAAAAGUUGGUGUAAUCUCCCAUCCCUCAUAUAUGUCAAAAAAAAGGAUCUCUCAUUGGAAGGGCCCUGUCUGCCUCCAUUUUUGACCUGAAUAUCUCAUCGAUCAGUAUAAGACCUCAUUCUGUCAUUUAACAUUCUCGAUGUGGUUUCUACUGAUCUCAUUCCCAGUCAAUCUUUUACUCCAACUGAAUGAUUGUUUAUGUAAAGCAUCAAUAUGAUCUAUUGUAGUUCUGUUUAUUUGAUCAACUGGCUUCCCAUUGUAUAUAUGUCGUUACACGUACCCACCAAAUGUAUAUAUAUGUAUGAAAGUUUCUUAAUAAUUACAGUGGACUGCAACUUUUCAAAGGACCUCUAUACAUGUUUUUGCUUGCAAAUAAUUAACCUUGACAUGUGGAAAAUGCUCCUUUAGAUCUAUAUCUAAUUGAUUCACACUUGCAGGUCUUUCUUAUAUAUUGCCCGACUUGUUGGACCAAUUGCACCAUAACUAACAUAUAUGGUCCACGAGAAGUCGAGAACGAUAGUACAUACUCAAUUGACAGUUUACAGAUGGAUAACAUGCAAGGUAAAUUGUUGAUAACUAAAUUAACAUGUAAAUGGUACAUGACACAAAGAUAAUAAACAGUUUUCUACCCAGAAAUAGUCGUAAAAUUCUUUCUGACUACUUCCAACCCGGCCACCCUAAAACUUACAAGACCUUUUUUCCACAAGCUUUUUAGUUUUUACCAAACUUAUAAGACCUUUGACAAACGUUAUUACUGUUUCUGGUGACAUUACUACUUCCAACCCCUUUGGAAAUGAUUGUUAUUCUGACGACUGGUCGGAAACAGCAUUUUUGACAUUUGCACGUAUUUCUGAUCACCACCGACGAAAAUUUCUCAUCAAAAAUACGUACUUGCAGCCAAAGAUUAUUUAGUCGUCAAUAUUGAAUCGUCAAAAAUCAUAAUGCAUGUUAGUUGUUGUAGUGGUUAUAGAACCCUAAUCACUUCACAGGAAGAAAAUAGUCCAGAUUUAUUACUCAACAACCAUGUGGUUCUAUUUUCUCAGCUAGAAGAUCGUGGAAAGAAAAUACAUGUUGACAUAAUUUGCUCUUAAACCUACUCCUUUGAAUGCUUCAACACCAGUUACCAACUACCAAGUUCGAAUGCUCAAAUCUUUUGAAGGCCCCAACUUCCACAAGGAAAAGUAGAAGAGAAUAUGAUAGGCUAAUAGGCGUGCCACCAACAUCCCAAUACGACAUAUAGCAAUGUUAGCGUCUGACGAUAAGACCACGAAACACGAAUCACGAUUGCUCCCUACCUUAGAGGAUGAACUAAGCCGUAUUGUCUUUGGUUGUUACACGUACGGUUUCUCCACUCUUCUAAUUCAACGAAGAUAUAUAUCUAAUACUAGGUGAACCAUCUUUUGGAGAACCACCUAGAGCUCAUCUUACGUGGCAGCUAACGUGGCACCGCCAUAUCAUCAAAGCAUGAUUUCCUAUUUUUUGUAUUUCAAUUUUUUCUUUAUUACAAAAAUUCAAUUUUAUUUUUACUUUUUUGAUUUUUUUCUUUUAAACCCUACUUUCUCUCUUUCAUCUUGUGCUUAGACAUCGUUGUUUUCUUUUUCUCUCUUCAUCUCACGUUGAUCUUGGUUAGAUCAAUUAACUGUAAUAUAGGUAACAUAUGAAAAUCUCCAGAAAAACACAUCAAUUCCAGCCAACUCAAUUGGAAUUAAGCUCUACUCUUGGCCAACAUUUGCAGUUGAACUAGUUCUCUUGAUCUACCUGCAUCAAAUCAAUUUCCUUGGGGACAAGUUUCCGAAGAUUGAGCAUAUUUGACAAACUUCACCAUAAGAGGAAACACUUUCAACAAUGUCUGUCAUUGAAGCCAUGAAUCCACUUAUAGAAUUAUCACGAGUAUUGUUCUUGCCUUGAAAUAUAUACACCAACAGUAAUAUAACCAUGUAAGUUUCCAAGCUGAGUAGUAUACUUCUAGAUUUUCAAAAACCAGUAUUUGAUUUCCCAUGGAUAUAUAUACUUUGGGGCCAUCGAUCUGUUCCUUAUGUUCCCAUGGAUAUGCUCACUUGUUCUACUGGCAUCAAUUCAAAUCCAAUUAUCCUUAAACCCUAUUUCAAAUCAAAUUCCACCUAAACACUAAUUCCAAACUACCUACUUAUCACAAAGUUUUUGUCACCGAUGCUUGUGAGGGAACGAAAAUCUGAUUAAAAGUGUUGAUCAAUUGAGAGUAGGUGGUAGGGUGGAGAGGAGAUCAACGUGAGAUGAAGAGAGAAUAAGAAAGCGAACGACGGCUAAGCAGAAAUGAUAUUAGAUGAAAGAGAGAAAGUAGGGUAUAAAAGCUAAAAUCAAAAAAGUAAAAAUAAAAUUGAAUUUUCGUAAUUAAGAAAAAAUUGAAAUACAAAAAGUAGGAAAUCAUGCUUUGAUGAUAUGACAAUGCCACGUCAGCUGUUACGUAAGGUGGGCUCUAAGUGAUUCUCCAAAAUGUGGUUCACCUAGUAUUGUUGCGUUUAUGGAAUAACGUACUGUUUACGUAUACUAGAACAACAACAUAGAAAAUGCAUGCUUAAUUCGUCACAAAAGGGUUCUUCAAGUGAAAAGAGAAGGAUUUCUCGGAAAAAGUCUCCUAAGAAGAGAGGCCGUCCACGUGGCAGUCGCAACAAGAAGAGGACAACGAAUGGAGAUCCGGAGUUGUCGGAUUCUAUGGCUCCUAGUUCGGAGGGCGUCAAUGCAGAAACAUGCCUCGAGUCCGAGGCUGAGGAGGAGUAGGUUCUGGUGCAUCUAGGAAAGACCCCUUCUGAUCUCUAAUAGCUUCUCUCUUUCUCUCAAUUCGAUGACAGGUACACCAUUGAGUCUUAGGCCUUGCUCGAUUGGAAGUUGAGUUGUUAUUAGAGAUCCGGGAGGUUAUUUUGCUUUCUAGUUUUCAUAUCCAUCUUUUUGGAUAUAGCUUUGAAGUUGUUAUUUCUUUUCGUAGAUAUAGCUUUACAUUUUGUUGCUAUCUGCAUGUAUGGUCUUCGGACUAUCCUUGUUUGACCUUUUGGUCGUUUUGAUUGUUGAUCAAUGAAAUUUUCCUACCUUAAAAAAAACGUCGACUUUCGAUGCAUCAGCCAUAGAAAUUGGAUAACUAAAUUCUCUCAUGCUUUCUAGCUAGGCCGGGAAAUGUUGCUAUCAUACACCUACGUCGUUUUGAUUGUUGAUCAAUGAAAUUUUCCUACCUUAAAAAAAACGUCGACUUUCGAUGCAUCAGCCAUAGAAAUUGGAUAACUAAAUUCUCUCAUGCUUUCUAGCUAGGCCGGGAAAUGUUGCUAUCAUACACCUACCAAAUGUAUGAAAUUUUGCAUCAAUAUUGUAUUGAUUUACCCGACUAAUGGAAUUUGUUAAAGACUUCCAUACAUGUACGAGUGUUUUUCUUACCAACUUGGAGAUUCAUAAAAGACCAUGCAACAAUGACUGAAACAUGCUACUGCAAAUUCCAUCACUAACCGAAAGAAUAGUUGCGACUUGUAACAAACAUUCCAAACUGUUCGUUUUGACAAGCUAGAAUAUCCCAGUACCAUUCACGUUGAUUAGCUUCAUUCUGGUUCAAUGGAAAGUGGAGCUUAGAUGCCUCUUUUCCUUCUUUGUUCCUUUUCAGGUUUUGUUUUGUUUUCCUUUGGUUAGCUUACUUUUAUGUUGUUUUGUAGUUUCUUUGUCUUUGGUUUCAGUUGUACUGGGCUUGCCCUCCCCUUUUUGCUUUAAUAUACUCGUUUAUUUACUCAAAAAAAAACACUGAACCCAAAAUUCUCCAAACCCCCUUCGUUUAGAGACCUGUGAGAGAAACAACGUUUAUAGUAAGAUGUCUUCAAACAAACUGAUCGACCAUAACACCAUCAAUUAGUAAAGACUUGCAUAACUUGGAAUACAAAUAGUCUUUACUCUUAACUACUAUUAAUUAGAAACCUACUAUUAAUCUGCCGUGUAACAUACAGCAUGUUGCUAGGCUUUCUAAUCAGUGGCAGAUAUGGAAGGAAGUACUCAACUACCAACAGGUAAACCUAUCUCCCUCUCCGAGCAAGAGCAGAAGAGCUAUCCUUUCAAAGAAAAAAAAGAGAGCAGAAGAGCUAGUUGAUUGCGACAAGAUCAAAAGCAUCUCAAUUCAUGGAUACCAAGAUCAAAAGAGCUGUGAGGGAGGCUUGAUGGUUGUUGCAUCUCAAUUCAUCAAUCAAAAGCUAGUUGAUUGCGACAAGAUCAAAAGCAUCUCAAUUCAUGGAUACCAAGAUCAAAAGAGCUGUGAGGGAGGCUUGAUGGUUGUUGCAUCUCAAUUCAUCAAUCAAAAGCAUGGAUACCAAGGCUAACUACCGCUACAUGGGUGUUGAUGGUACAUGUAAUGCCAAGAAGAAAGCAAGCCAUACAGCCACGACAACUAACCAUCAUGAUGUGCCUGCAAAGAGUGAAACUGCUCUUGGCUGUUGCCAAUUAACCUAUCUCUGUUGCCAUUGAUGGUAGCAUAUCUGAUAUCCAAUUCUAUUCAAAAUGGUGUAUUGUGGGGAAUGACCCUAGACCAUUGCAUUACAGCUGUCCGUUAUGGCAUCAGCGAUGAUGGAACUUAGUAUUGGUUUCUGAAGAACUCAUGGGGGGUAGAAUGGGGUGAAGAAGGGUAGAUAAGAAUGCAAAGACAUAGAUACAUUGGAAAAUCUGUGGUUUUGCAAUGGAAGUCGCUUACCCCUCUCUGCAUAAUUUACAAUCAAUGAAAUCAAUACCCACAAGGCCACAAGCCUUUCUAGGUCUGCAUUAUGAUAUGUACAUGAACUUCAAAGAUACCACAUAUUUGUAAGAAGACUAGGAAGUGUUGGCAAAUAUUAAUGAAGAAGAACCUUUUUUCUGUUUAGAUGAAUUAUCCAACUAUACAUGUACAGGAACUUUUUAUGGGGAGACACUGAGAGAAGGCAUAUAGUCCACCUCUGUCACUGGAACCUGGUCUGCAGACCUAAUUGCAAGGGGCUUGUGAAUUAGAAAUACAGACUGUUUUAUUCUUGUUCCCCAUCCCCAUCCCCAUCCCCCACCCCCCCCCACACUACACACACACUACUACAGACUAGACGUAACGUAACUACGUACGUAACUACAAUAACGUAACUAACGUUAACCGUAACGUAACGUAAACGGUUAACGUAACGUAAACGGUUAAACGGUAACGUAACCGUAAACGUUUACCCCGGUUAACGUAACGUACGGUAAAAACCCGUGGUAAACCCGUUUUACCCUUAACCGUUAACGAAACGUUAGGGACCCUUUUUACGUAACGUACGUAAACGGGUAACGAAACGUACGGGUUUACGACGUUUACCCGUAAGGGGUCCCGUAAAGUUUUACCCCCGGUAACGUAAACCCCCGUUAACGUUAAAAAACGUCCGGGGGGUUAAACCCCCGUUAACGGUAAAAAGGUUUUUACCCCGUACCGAAACCCCGUUUACGUAAGUAACCCCUAACGGGGGUAGUAAACCCUAACGGGUACGUAAACGGGUACCCCGUACGUAAAACGUACGUUUUACGACGGGGGUUACUACCGUAACGGGGUUUUUACCCCCGAACGUACCCCCGUACGUAAAACGUUUUUUUACGUACGUACGUACGUACGUACGUACGUACGUACGUACGUACGUACGUACGUACGUACGUACGUACGUACGUACGUACGUACGUACGUACGUACGUACGUACGUACGUACGUACGUACGUACGUACGUACGUACGUACGUACUACGUACGUAACGUUACGGUAGGUACGGUUAACGGUUAACGUUAACGUUAAACUAAACGUUAAACGUUAACGUUUAACGUUUACCGUUUACCGUUUUACCGUUUACCCUUACCCUACCCUACCCUACCCACCCCACCCCCACCCCCACCCCCNCCCCCACCCCCCCAAAAAAAAACAAAACAAAACAAACAAACAAGCUAUGAGAUGACUGUAAAAAAUGCAAACGCAGAAAAGGAGCACGAGAGAGAGUAAUACCUGGUAGUAUGGAAUUGACAGACAACCCGGGCAUACUUCAUGAUGCCAAUCAUCUGUUGUCCUACCUGAACGCACCGAACACUCUACAGUACCAUCUAAACACAGCCAUCUCAACCUGUUAAAAUAUCACAACAGUCUAGUCCUAGUUUCAGCUCUAAGUUGCCUUAACCUCCUCCAGUCCAAAGGCAAGCUCAACAUAAGACUAAUGUAACUGUACCAAACUAGCCUUUAAAUUACAUCAAAUGAGCAGAAGCAGUCAACCAUUUUCAAGUUUCAAUAUUAAAAUUGAUUAAUAAUAUUUCAUCCUUAUCUAGAAUUCAUGCAUGAUAACAUACACUACUUGUGAAGGCAAAAGCUAUCACAUACUGUUGUAAUGGGAAAGCACAAAGAGGUAGAUCAGUAACAUAAAGCUUCAACAUAUAUUAAUUUUAUAAGAAAACCGAUCCGAUUUUACAGUCAACGAACAAAAUACAAGCUAACUGAUACUUUCAACACUAGAAAGAAAAGACAUGCAUUAGGGGAAAAGACCACUGGAAGCAUGUUGCUGUAUCUACAAGGAAAAAAAUUCUAAACAGACAGUUCUGGUACUAGAGUUAACACCAUGCAUCAGAGUUAAAACUAACACCAAAUGCAUGUCUCUGUCUACAAUGGGAAAAAAUAGAGACUAACCGACGAGGCUUUUGGUACUAGUGCAAGAAUCAUGUGUGUUUCUAUGUUUACACAGCCUUGUCCAACACAGGUGAAGAGGGGGAACUUGCAUCAUUUGCACCAUUGCUCAAUUCUGUCAGUUCUUUAGCACCAACACCAACAGAGGGUUCGAUUUCAACUUUCGGACUCUCUUCCUUCAACAAUGUCAUAGCCUCAGGUGUGAUUUGCAUAAAGUCAACACCAGUCUUCAAUUCUGUCAUUUCUUUAGCACCAACACUAACAGAGGCUUCGAUAUCAACUUUUGGAUUCUCUUCCUUCGACAAGGUCAUAGCCUCAGGUGUGAUCUGCGUAGAGUCCAUACCAGUCUUCAUAUCCACCUUCAACUCACCAGCAUAUAUUUCAGUUUCAUCAUUCGUCAACCUGUCAAUUUCCUGGGACUUGUCAUCUUCUAUAGGCUCACUAAGUGUAGAACGGUCUGCAGAUUUACUGUCAGACUUCAUACAGUCAACAAUGGAUAAGCCAGCUGAGGCUCCAGUUCUAGAUAUCCUUCAAAAAAGUUUUAGUUAAGGAAUGAUAACUACAAAUUACACGACAGUAUGCAAACCACCAACCUCUGGGCAAACCAACAAUGGGAAAAGAUCUAAAAGUAGAUAAAAGGAAAAAUUAGACAAACCAACCUCUUCAAGGAGAAACCAGCAUUUGCUUGCUUAGAUGACUCUGAUUUUGCUUUCCACUUCCUCUUUUGUGGUCUGAUUGAAAUGAACAACAAAUGAUUAUUACGCCAAACCAUAAACACACAUGGUAGCAGCCAGGAAGUGUAAGGUGGGUCAGUACCAUUUAGGAUCAAGAGCGGUGAUUUAUGAGCUACAUAUAUACUUAUUACAACUGAUUCUUAAAAUUGUAUAACUUUAUUAUUUGUUUGUUUUUCAAUAUCCAGAAAUCCCCCGAACCUGAUUGGCUGACCCAGGCAGGAGCCUCCUGCUGAACCCUAGAAAACUUUAACAAAUAGGUAGAUAGGUAUAGUGAGGUCAAACCCCACACCACAAGGAGAAAACUAUUAGCCUGACAUAUCCUACUAACCUAGUUUGAAAUAUUUCUGAUUUAUUAAAUCAACCACCAAAAGGAAACAACAUAAAAUGACAAAUAUUACGCUGACAGAAGACGUCCAAAUGUUUUUUUAAUAAGCACAUAGUGGUCAGUUACAUGUAAUGGUCAUCUUAAAUGUGACUCCACGAAAUAAAAGUACAUUGCCCACGUAGUUGUGCAAAAACCCACAAAAGCAAACAAAAAGAAUUGUCCAGACCAUAAGAAGGGAAUCUCUGCUGCAAGUACCAUGUAACUAACCAAACAAAAUUUUCCAAAAACUACAUAAUGAAGCAGUCCUCUCAAACUAAAAUAGGGUUUACUUGAGAAAUAGGACUUACAUAUCAGAAUCAUCAGUCUUUGGCGUGUCAUUCUUUUGCCCCAGUUGUAUACAUGUCUAAAUUGCAAAAGGAUAAUAUAUUUUAGAAUAAGGUCUUUAAAAAUGAGAGAUGUAGACAAAUGACCAAUACAAUUAAAGAAAAAAAAAAAAAAAUUAAAUACAUACAUCUUCUGAAUCACCUCCAAUCAGUUGCCAUCGUUGCUUUCGAAGGUUUAGGUUUUCUUUCUCCCCAUCAUUAUAAAGCACCUGCACAAGUUGGAAGUAAAGGAAGAACAAUUUGAAACAACUAUAUGCAUAUAGAUGGAAGCAAAUUGUGAGACUGAGGUAAACUGAGAGAUGUCAUGCUAGAUUACAACAUGUGGCCCUGACGGUGCUCAGUGAGGAAACCUCCUCUGCCCCAAAUUUUCCGGCACCUCAAAUAGUUAACCAGAAGUAUAUUGCCUAAAACUUUAAAAUCCUACAAGUAGUAUUUUCAAAGAAUAACAGCAACAACAAUAAAUGUAAAUGUUUAACAAUUACAGUAAAUUGUAAGAGUUACCAAAAGAACAAUCAAACCCAAACCCAAUGACACAUCGAUAGUAAAAUGUAUAGUGAAACAGAUCUCUCUCUCUCUCUCUCNNNNNNNNNNNNNNNNNNNNUACUUACUACUACUCUCUCUCUCUCUCUCUCUCUCUCUCUCUCUCUCUCUCUCUCUCUCUCUCUCUCUCUCUCUCUCUCUCUCUCUCUCUCUCUCUCUCUCUAACUCUAACUCUCUCUCUCUCUAAAUAUAAUCAAUUGUAAUACUCAAGAGGGAUUAUUCAUAAACUAUAAAAUUAUUCAUAAACUAUAAAAUAAAGGAACUAAUUCCAGAAGGAGAUUCUUUGAAGAAGAACUCACAGCACAAGCAAGAGAGUGGUUAAUUUCAUGUUGAUGUUACUAUAAAACGGCCAAGAAGAUCAUGGUCAAAGGCCCAAAGACGCAUAGUAUUAUUCCAACUUUAUCAAGUUUCAAAUGAUGUUAUGAUAGAGAACACCGCAAAGGCAUGAAACAAAACAUACAAAAAAGCAGGAAGACAAAUAAUCAACUCACCAAGUGUUUCUUUCUAACAGCGUCGUAAUAACGAACAACACCAUCAUAAAACCUACAGAGAAAGAUAUACCAUAUAAGAAACAAACAUAGUGUCGAUUAUACCCUAGCAGACAAUAAACAUUCACUCAAAGUGACGAUCAACUAAUUCACAUGAAUCAUAGAACAUUAUACAUGUAAUCGGUUCUGAAGUACUCACGUUUUGUCUUGUGGCCACCAAACCUUUAUUCCUUUGCCAACUAAUCGGUCAUCAGGAUCACGCAAUGGAUUCCCCUAGAUUUGAAAAGUUGAAUCAAAACCCAAAGUAAAAAGAAAAGCCAGAGAAAAAGAUCAUAACAUUUAAUAGGUAGGCCUAGCCCAUAUAUAAAAGAGAAUAUGUUAAGUUGGAACUUAGAAAAGACUGAGACAUUAUUAUCUGGAAGCAAGUUUUUGAAACAGAAUUGUAAAAUGAUGUAAGAGAUUACUACACCAAAAAGAAGACAGAAAAGAAAAAAGGUACCAAUGUUGCACAUAAGUUCCUUGAUGUAUUGAAUAUAGUUAUUUCCAAUGCUUAAUCAACAGGGCCUUACUGAUAAGGAACAUUAAUUGAUUCAAAUGAUAAUAACUUGGCAAAUAACGGGAACACCUAAUAUUGUUAGUGGUUAAUGCUUGGAUCCGAUGUAAGCCAUAUUUUCAAGAUUUACGGAUCACACUUAUUUAAGGGACAAAUAGUCCACAGAGAUAAAUGACUCAUAAGGAUGUAGCAGAUGACUGAGACACCAAACCAAACUGUAACUCACCAUACUACUGAAACUGCAAUUGAACCAAAAAACAAACAAACAAAAAAACAAGAAUUUAAUAAUAACACUUAUUAUUACCUCUUCCUUUCCAAUGGAACGUUUCCUCUUGCGUAUAAUCUUAGGGGUUCCUUCCACAAUAUCUCCCUCCAUUUUUGUCUCAGACUUGGAUAUCUUCUGCAAAGUGGAAAAUUACUAAGAGGAUUAAGAAAAAAACAACAGAACAAAAGAAUAAGUACUGAAAGGUAAAGUUUUACUGUCAAUAGUCAAGUACCUUACUAAGAGAUCCUUCAGCACCAUCUGCAUUAGGAGCAUCAUCCAGCGUACGUUUCUUAAUACCUUUUACAGCUGAUCGAUCCUGGAUACUCCCAGUUCCAGACUGUAAAGCGGGCUCCUGAUCAGGUUUUUGCUCGGGACCACUUGGGACUGGUGACUCCUCUUUCACUACUACACUUUCAGAAGCAAGGACAGUCUCCUGAUUUAAUUUUGCAGCAAGCUUUCUCGGGCGCCCCCUUGGUCUUGUUGCACUCACAUUCCCAGUCCCAACCUUUUGCACCAAUGACUGGUGAUUGAUAUUCCCAGUUCCAAGAGUCAAAGCUGAUUCUAGUUGGUUUUCCUCAGGAUUAUAUGGAACUGCAGAUUCCUUCCCUGAGCCUACAUGUACAGAAGCAAUAAUUGUCUCGUCAUUUGUUUUUGGACGAAAUUUUCUGGGGCGUCCUCGUGAUUUUGCUUUUAAGGUACUUGUCUCCUUAGAUUCCAUUUUCAAAGUAUCGAUUGAUGGUGGACUUUUCUCUUCAGCCUGAGCACUCAAAAAAUCUCCCUUUGCCGGUUCAAGGGAAGUAGGAUUAGCUUCUUGAUGUGCUACGGUUACUUGCUUCUUUGGCCGACCUCUUCUAGAUUCGGUUCCAUCAGGAUGGCCAUUUUGUAGAAGCGAAGAAGCAGAUCCUAUGUCCCCUUCUGCUUUAGGUUGAGAAUUUGGUGACUCAGUCGUUUUUUGAAGUGUCAAUGGAAAACUGGAUGGCUCAACCACUUCUUGAAGUGUUGAUGGCAAAGGGGAUGACGUAGUGACCUUCACACAAACAUGGUCUUCAGUAGGUAAACUAUUAGAUCCCUUUUCAUGUGACUUCUUGUUGCCAGCCGAUUUUGGAGAUUUUUUUCCAGAAUGCAUCCAAUUCUCGUAACCUUCCUCUGGAUUCAUUAAAGAAUUUGGCUUCCGGCCUCUCUUUUUCGGAGCUGAAUGUGGCUCAAUUUCUGAUUUUUCCUCUGCGUCCAUUGAAGAAUGGGGCCUCGUGCUUUUCUUUUUGGUACUGGAAUCUGGCUCAGUUACUGAUUUGACAGCCUUCACAGAGAAUGAAUUUUCAGGUUGAGCACCAUCUUGUAAAUCAACCUCCUUGGAAUGUUUAGUAAGAUGGCAACGCUGUAAUGUUUUAGAAGAGUCAUGUACAAUUGUAGGUUCAUCACUAGUGGGAGCAGCCACAGAUUUGUCAACUGAUGUCGGACAAGCAGCAUUGGCAGUAACUACCUCUGUCACCUGGUUAAUAGAGAAGUUUAAAUCAAAAAACUGCAUGUAAUAUAUAUGGAAGAAGAGAGAGAGAGAGAGAGAACAGGGGACGAUAUGAAUAGGCAUAGCAGUUACAUACAUGUGAUGGUUCAUUUGAUGUCCUUCUAUAUCAACUAGUUUUUUCACUAGUUUUCAUUUGAUGUCCUUUUAUAUCAUCUAGUUUCUAUAUCAACUAGUUUUAAUUAUACUCAUUGAUGUCCUUUUAUAUCAACUAAUUUUAUCUUAUCAACUAGGUUUUAUUAUUAUCUUAAGAGUCAGAUUACUGUCAGAAUGUCCAUCUAUUAUUCUCACUAAGGAGGCCCACUCUUAACACACACACACACACACACACACAUACAAGGGACAUCCAUAAAACACUACAUCACACAUCCUUCCUCCUAAAAUGUGUACUGUGUACCUGAUAUACCAAGUACUAUAUGCCAGGCAAUGCUAUCCAAAUUCUUAAAUAAUAUCUAGAAGAAAACAGAAUAGCUAGGUAGACAGGAGAGGAUGGUAACUACGUUGAAUAUUAUUGAUGUAAUCAUUAAAACCAUGCACUUCCAAGAGCGCUUGUUAUUAACUUUCCUUUGACUGUCCUGUUUUAAUUCAAACUGAAUUUUUACUUGCUGACCUCAUCCCAAUCCUCUUAUCUUGUAACUACAUCAACAAUCCUUUUUACUAUGGUCACAAAAAUAUCUUUAACAUUACUCAACCAGAAAUUAUCCAUUCUGCAUAAAAAAAUCCUCUUAUCUUGUAACUACAUCAACAAUCCUUUUUACUAUGGUCACAAAAAUAUCUUUAACAUUACUCAACCAGAAAUUAUCCAUUCUGCAUAAAAAGGACCAUUGGAUACUAAACACUGCAAACAAAAAGUGUUCCAGUUCAAAGGGAUUGAAGCUAUGACCACCUCAGUGUGUGUGACAGCGUGUGAGGAACAGACAGAAUUCAUCUCGAAUAAUAAGAUAUUAUAUAUAUACAUAUACAUAUGCUGACAUGUACAUAGAAAAAUUUCAGAUAAAUCAAAAUAAAUACUUUGGCCGCAGAAGUUGGGCUUCCAGUUCAACUUGGAGAGAUGAUGCAUAAAAAGACAAAAGGAAUGGAUCAAGCAUAAGCACAAAAAACAGUAUACUAAGCUUAUUGUAAACUUCUCCCUAUGCAUGCAAAUGAUCGAUUAUUACACAAUAUCACUUGUUUAACAUACCUGAUUCUUCACGACAUGGUCAAGUUUGAGGGUAUCAGAUCCAUGCUGGCAUAUAGAAGCCACUAUACGAGCAUAAUCGUCCAAAGCAGUACCCAUGGACUUCACUGCUUCCAUGAGAUACGGUUUGAGCUUAGCUGCACAAUUAUGGAGAACCGCCUCACCCAAUUUCCAAGAAAAAGGUGAAAGAUUCUGAACAAUGAAUAAGAUGGGCCAAAUUAAUAAAUAAAGAAAAUACAAUGAUUAAUCAAAAGGUUAAACUAAAAGCAAUAACAAUGUUUUUAAAGAAGAUUAUAACCUGAUUUUCCUUUCUAACACUUGACAAGAGAAUUUUGAGAAGUUCCAAGGGAAUUUCUUCACUUUCAUGAAUUUCAUCGAAAACCAUUGUCAUAAUAGUUUGCAUGUCUGAAAACACAGCAAGUGGAUGGUUGGACCUUAAAAUCAAGCAAGAUGAAACCAUCAGUUGUUAAUUAUUUGCACGAAAUAAAAGAUCAUAUGAAAGGAAAUACUGCUACUAUACGAAUAGAACUUUAACAAACAGAAGAAAAGUACAAAGUGUGGGAAUGGUUCAUACUGAUUAACUACUAUAUUAACAACUAAACAAAAAAAAAAAAACAUAAACAUAAAAGUAAACCACUGAAAACAAAAGACGCCCAAAACUAAAGCACAAAAGCUCUCCAUACCAGCAUAAUAUCAUACAAAGAACUAUAACUCGAGAGAACUGACACCCACAGCUAAGUAACAAACUAUAUCCCCAAGUUAUAUAUCUCCUCACCCCUAGCUCUCUUAUUCAUUCCUUUCCCAACACUAAACCCAAUACCUCUCAUAAAACUAUAAAACUCAGGAGAAACUGAAGCCCAGAACGAAGCUAAGUAAUGAACUCCAUCUCCUCACCCCUACCUACCUCAGAAAUUAUGUUAAUUUACUCCAUCAACACCACCUGAGAGAUGACCAUCACAGCAGCUUCUCCCAGCAAUAGUCCUUUCUUUUUUUUCUCCACAAUCAUUUUCUAAGAAAUUCUUUUUGAAGGAAAAUACACCGAAUAUGAAGAGAAUAUUUUUGGUCUGAAUAUGAAGUGAAUUUUCCAUCCUAUGGUUCCACAACAGAAUAACAUCAGGAUCCAAAGUUCCAAACAUAUGAAAAGAAGGAAAGCUUUUAGAAUCCUAUGAUUUCUUUUAAACAAACUUCCAAUUAAUAAGCAAACACUUAACUUGAGAUAACACGUUAACUUGAGAUAACAAUAAUAAUGUUACAAAGUAUCAACAAUAAUCGAAAAGUUCCCACGCUUCAAUAUCAAAGUAUCAAAUAAUGUUACAGAAGUUUAUUCAAGUUUUGUAAUUCAAGCUGCACUUAAUUAAAGAUCAAACUAAUUUUAAUUUCAAUUCAAGGUUCAGCCACCACAUUAUUGAAUAAUAUAUAAUUUUGUUAAUACCACCAUAAAACAAUGUCCAGCAAAGCACCACAAUAUUAAUCAUAUUACAAUAAGCAUAGAUAUAAGCUCUUACUGGAUUAUAUUUAGGAAAUGUUGAAACAUCUCAGCAAUUAAUGAGUAACAGUCAAGGUCCAGCAUCAUCACACUUGACCUGACCUUCGCAACAACUUUUAGAGUGGACACUGCCUUUUUGUAAGAGCGACCGGAUAGAUGUGAUAAGUUUUCAAAAGCUGCUACAAUCAGCUUAAAAAUUUCCUGUGCAGCCAAAUUGACAAUGAAUGGCUAAGAGUGAAGAAUAUAUAUAUAUAAGAAUUACAUCUGCUUACAUGAAUAUGCAAUUUGAAACCUUAUGAAUGAUUAGCAUCAAGCAUUAGUUGAGAAUCCCAGAGAUCAUGUCAUACCUUCAUUUUGUCAUCAUCGUAUGGGGCUUCAGGUGCUGUUAUUCUUGUAAUCUCAGUGAUACAUGAUGCAACAGAAACUCUUACAUCCGUAUCUGAGUGUCGUAACAGUACAUCCGAAAUUAAUGCUGUCAUUGAGGGUAGAAGCGCAUCUUGCAGGGAUGUAGACGGUGCUUGCUCCACAUAUGACAGCAAACCCUCAACUUCCUAAAGGAAAAAAUUGAAACAGCAAGUCAGUAUUGUCAAUCUUUUAAGCUAUAAAGGAACAAAAGAAAAUCCAUAUAUGCUAUGUUAUAUCUCACAGUUGUAUCAACAGAAGACUCACAGGAGGAGAUAGUUUAGAUGAACUAAGCAAGUAGAGGAGAACAAAAUGUAAAGAGAGUUACGCUUGUCAUCAAGAAAAAACAAAUAUCUAUUUCAUGUGAAAAGGUAAGAUGGAGGAGAAUGAUGAUUGCAUGUAAAGUGAUGCUUGAACCACCAAACAUGUGUGUGUAUCACACACAUACCCUAGGCGACAACCAAGAAGAUUGUUUCCCUACUCAAACUAAUAAUCACUAUGGUCGUGUAGGGCAAGUCAUCAUUGUGCCAAGGCAAAGCUUCCAUGCAACGCUUUAUGAUGACAUAUGCAAACAGGAUCUAAUAAUAAGAGCCAAUGUUCCAAUAAGUUUAUGUAUUUAGGUAAAAGUUUAAACUUCAUGAAACUAACAAAUGCAUCUAUCAAAAGAUUCCCUUUCAUCAGUUUUGUUUUCUCUGGUUCUUUAAUUUCAUGAAAAAUGAACUUCAGAUAUAUGCAAUUACACAAUUUGUUAAAAACAAAGUUUGCUUAUUCAUGUAUGCAACUAAGGAUUUUCAGUUCAGAGUUAUUAAUCAUGUAUAGAAAUUCAUGAAUUCACAAACUUUGGCAUCCAAUUUUCACACAACAUAAGGUCCAAAGCCAUUAACCUAAAAACACAUCUUCCAAUAGGAAGCACUUAUGCAUCAAGCACCAUUAAAAAAUGAAAAAUUGUGGCCAGCAAACAGCUCACUAUUGAUAUAACAGGUACUCAGAGAUCCAUUCCAACACAAUCACAUGUAAGGAAUUGCCAAAACGAAAUUCAGCCUUUCAAUAAAAGCAGCAAUGAGGUUCAAAAACACACAUCAAAUGUAUAGAACCCAGAAAGCCUACUGAAAUCACAUCAAAACUACCAAAUGAUUGACCUAAAGAAGAACCACAAAACGACACAAAAUGAUGAUUGAAAUCAAUCUUCAUUCAUCUAGAAUCCAUGAAUUGAUAUUGCCCAGAAAGCAAAACAAACACAACAAACUCACAAACACCAAAUGCACAAAAUUAAGAACCCACAGAACACCAGCAGUCAAUAAUUCAACAAAAUCAUUAUCAAAGACCAAUUUCAUACAACAAUCCAUUCUAUUCACCAACCCAGAAAAAAAAAAUUAUUAAAAAAAAAACUCAGUCAACAAAUUCUGUGUUUUGUAUGUGAAAAAGAAAAUUACAAGAGAGGGUUUAAGGGGAUUACAUCGAGGAGUUUGAGGAGCUCAUCAAUGUUGGAAGGAGGCUUAAGGAGAGAAUGUCCAGCCUUCUUAAGCUGUUCCUCAAGCUCUUUCUUAGAGGAUGACAUUGUCAGAACUCCAAAAAGACCCUUGUGUUUGGUUUUCCUAUUUUUGGGGUUUCAAACUCUGAGACCCUAAAACACAGAAAACUCAAAACUCAACCCAGGAAUCAGACUUGGGAAAACUCCCAGUCCCAGACCGAUGUUAAAUAACCCCCAACAUCAAAAAGUGACAAGGCUAUUAACUCACUCCACCUCAGACUUGGGGAUUUUAGGCAAAGUGUUGGGCAUGCAAACACAAAGAGUUGCAAAUGGGCAGUUUCGUAUUCUGACCAAAUUUAUGAAAUUUGGUUCAAUUUUGGGCUCUCAAAUCCGCUGUUUUUUGUUCUCUUGGGUUUAUGCCUCUAUAAUCACAACCCCCUUUUUUUUUUCUCACACAAAAGACUCGAGCUUUUGGCCUUCGCACUUUUAAACUGGUCGUUUCUGAGUGCUGUGUAAGACUGUGCUCACCAUCAUCGACGUCAAUUACAAGAUUAGCCUUCCAUUGUUUGAAUGUGGACUGGUCAUAUACAGAUCUUCUGUUUGGUAUUUUAAGGACUGUAUAGGGUCUCUAGGACACUGAUUUAUUUGGAGCACCAAAUUUGGAGAAGCAAGUGUACAACUAUAGGCCACAAUACCACAUUUGUUCUUGGAAUGUUCAUUGUAUUGGUACCUGUACUAUAGAUAAUACAAUCAAGGCACCCAAGUGAGAAUCCAAGACUGCCCCUUUUAGUGUUUGUGUAAUUUUGUUGCUUUGUUGGCGUUAGUAAAUUUCACAGAACAUUGAGGCCCAAAUAUGCUGAAAUAAAUUUCACAUCUUUCCACAUGUAUUGUACGUAUAGUAAAUCUGCAUAUAGCCUCAGCAGGUAAAAAGUGACUGUUUUGUUAGAUUAUUAAGUGCCUUUUUUAUAUGACACAAGGGUAAGUGCUAUGAAGGUGGGGUGCAUAUUGCAAUUGCAUAUAUGUUAAAUUUCCCUACGAAUAAAAUGGAGAUGCUUUUUAUAGGAGAAUUUUUCAUGGAAAGGCAGAACCACAAGUCCACAAGACAGCAGCAUAACAGAUGAGAAGACACAUCAUAACUGGUGUGUACUGUUAAUGAUGCAAGACUCGAAGAGUCAAGACUUGCAUCAUACUUGAACUACCUGUGCAACUUCUAAAGGCUCUCGGAACUUUCAAUGAUUUCUAGUUUUCUUUUCUUUUUUUCAAUAAAUUUCUAGUUGAGUUGUUUGAGACUCAUCUUUUUAAUGAGCCGAAACGCAUGUCAUAGUUUUGGAGCUAGUGCAGUAGUGCUGGUGCUGGUGCUGGUAGUCAGGUGCUGUAGUUGUUGAUCUGGUCAAAUUUUACACCUUAAUAUUAUAGGCUACAACAUCAGUCUUCAAUGUAUUUAUGUUAAUGAUUAUUAGUUAGUUUAGGGGUUUUUUUGUUAUCAAAGCAAGGUGUCACUCCAUUUAAAAACAAAAAAUAAAACAAAACUUUUUAUUAGAUAACCCACACACCUAUUAUUGUGAAGUUUGAACUCAUAACUUCAACGUUAUCAAUUAAACUACCUAACCAACCAGGCCAUGGCUCCCGACAAUGUGUCAAUCCAUUGAAUUAUAGAAAAAUGUAGUAUUACACAAUAACUUGUCCUAGAGGCACACGACAAGAUACAGUUGUUGCUAAGAGACCUAAACUAGAACUCAACAUAAUAAUGCCUUUUGAGAGCACGACACGACAAGAACAAAAGAAAAAAAAUACAAAAGAAAAACUUACAAGAAAAUGACAUCUCACUAUCAUAAAGAGUUGCACAAAACAAAAAACUCACAUUUCAAAAUAUUUAGACAAAUAAUGACAGAAGUUUAGGCCCAAGAGCUAGGUGAUGCAAGCCUAACUUUGAAAUUAAUACUUAAAUGACCAAAAACCCAUAUUAUUGAUAAAAUUACGCAGACUGUCACUGGCCCAUCUCUCUCUCUCUCNNNNNNNNNNNNNNNNNNNNNNNNNNNNNNNNNNNNNNNNNNNNNNNNNNNNNNNNNNNNNNNNNNNNNNNNNNNNNNNNNNNNNNNNNNNNNNNNNNNNNNNNNNNNNNNNNNNNNNNNNNNNNNNNNNNNNNNNNNNNNNNNNNNNNNNNNNNNNNNNNNNNNNNNNNNUCUCUCUCUCUCUCUCUCCUAUUCUGCUAUUCUCUUCACCUCGCCAGCACCAUCCUCGCCUUCGUCGUGCCGCACCAGAUCUCCUCCACAUGCGACGCCGUCGAGUUUGCUAUUCUCUUCACCUCGCCAGCACCAUCCUCGCCUCCGUCGUGCCGCACCAGAUCUCCUCCACAUGCGACACCGUCGAGUUCUGCUAUUCUCUUCACCUCGCCAACACCAUCCUCCCCUCAGUCGUGCCGCACCAGAUCUCCUCCACAUGCGACGUUGUCGAGUGCUCCAUCCUCGCCUCCAAUGCACCGCACUAGAUCUCCUCCACCUGUAACACCAUCGAGUGCACGAUCCUCGCCUCUGUCGUGCCACACCAAAUCUCCUCCGCUUGCGAUGUCGUCUAGUGCACCAUCCUCGUCUCCGUGGCACCACCGUCGCGCCGCACCAGAUCUCCUCCACAUAUUCAUAUCUGUAUGAAUGGUAAAAUUACUACUACUGUUGAGAUCUGUUGGAAGGUAAAUUGGUGCUACUAUCAGAUCUGGUGAAAGGUAUUUGCUGCUACUGUUGAAAUUUGUUUGAUGGCAAAAAGAUCAAAGAUCUGAAAAUGAAGGUAGUAACAUCUAAUUAAGGGUGAAUUUGGCUAACUUCACGGUAAGCAGUAGCAACUAGCCUCUUAGACAACCGGAUAGUAUCAACUAGCUUUACCUUCGAUAGUAGCAGAUAGCUUCAGCGGCGGCAAUAGCAGCUAGCUUGAAGAUAAGGCAGUAGCAAAGUUAACUUGCGUUGUAUAGUCUUCAAGCAAUAGCAGAACUAAAGGAUUGCGGAGGCAUACUUGUGCUACUAUUGGAAUAUUGUUAACCCCUUGUUACUACUUUUACUAGAAUGUUACCUGCUACUGUAUUUCUUUUACUAGAAAUCUCUAAAGGGAGUAUUUCUCUUCUAAUUUAAUCAGUGCAUGGUUAGUUUAGUAAAUUAAACCAUGACACAUGGCAGAAAUAGAAGAAUUUGUCAUUAUUUGUUAAAAAUUGUCUUUAUUUGUUUAAAACUAAUGUAGAUGAAUAUUGUAUUUGUGUUUCAAAUAUUUUUGAAUGAGGUAUAUGUGAUUUGCUAAAAACUUACUCUACAAAGGAAGGAUAUGAAGCGAAGUCUCCCUCCUCGAUUUAUUCUAGAUCCUCUAGUAGCAUGGAGGAUGUCUCCAGAGGUAGAUGCAAACCAGAAGCUAAAGUAGAAACCACAGCAUCAUCAUUGACAUCCAUGCCGGCCAGCAGCUUCCACAAACUUCAAGUUCAAGAGCAUCUAUGGAUCUUACCACCCACUAAACCAACAUCAAUUCCAGCCAUGCACUUUAGGCUUGUUGACUGCCUUUAGGCCUUCCAUCCUUUUUUUUCUUUUCCCUUGCCAGCAACACAAUGAUGUCGCCCACUCAAAGGCUAUUGCAAGGACAAUUCAAAACCCAGAGAUACAAAUUUCGGUGCCACCGCCACCUUAGGGUGUUUGUAAUGGAAAUUGAUGCUUCGAACCGGAGAGUGGUGGUUUUGUGCCUUCCGUAAGCAUCAAGGCAUGCCCUUCCCUAGCUGGCCUAGGGUUCACAGUUGCAAAUGAACCUCUCAUCACAUCAUUUGGGUUUUUUUUUGUAAGCGAGUUUAGGGCUAAGUCUAUGCCCAAACUCGAGAAUUUAAUGAAAGACUAGGAAAACACAAAAAGAAGAGGGAGGGGGGGGGGGGGGGGGGGGGGGGGUGGUGGUCUAACAGAUAAGACACACAAGGUGCAUAAACCGUCACAAAGCCUUUUGCACCCUACCAAAUAAUGAUAGGGUUUUAUUGGCGGCAUAUAGUCGCUUAGUACUAAAAUAGAAAUUUGAUAAAGCAUAACUGGAGAAAAAAUUAAAAAUCAAAAUAGAAAAGUAAUUUUGGGCAAGAGUAAAAACCUAGGCACAAUUAUUAUAAGAAAAAUAACUAGAAUAUAAAAGCCACCGGCAAAGCCCUAAAGUAGAGGCUCGGCCCAACCACUUCACCAAGAGACCUAGCACUACAGCCCACCAAGCAUGUUGGAAACGCGUGUUGCCGUCACCCCUCCACCACCAUGUCGUUCUGCAUCUCUUUGUCGCCACACAGCCACACCGCAUCGCAGACGAACACAAAACCUCGAUGACGUCUAGGAUUGUAACCCAUAGCGAGUCAUCCUAUCUCCAGACUUAUCUCUGCCAUUAGAUUAAAUCCUCAGUCAUUGCCAAGAUCCUAGGUAUCGCAGUAACACCAUACCUCGCCGCCCACAAGUCCUAACCCCGUAUUGCUCCACCUUCGUCCUUGAUCCUAGAUGACAAGAUCAUGAUUGAUCUACCUUCCCUUCAUCCUCCUCCCAAGAACCAUGUCUCUAUAAUAAAACUAGGUUGUUAACCUAAAUCACCAUCCUUUCUCAAACCGAAUCGCGGCGACAAGAUUGUGGAGGCGUUCGGCCGAGAGAAAUUGCACGAGACUUUACUAUCUUCUCUUUUUCUUUAUGCGCAGUGGCGCAUUCUCUAAAACAAUAUUAUUAUAUGUAGAUGAUCUUUCAAAAUUGUUCCUCUCUUGGAUUGAAUGUGAAGCACUUGAAAGUGGUUCAAAAGCACUUUUCAAGUAUGUGAGUUUUUCUUUUAAAAAACAAAACUAAUAAUAUCCAUUAAUCCACUUAACAUUCACAUAUGUCAGUUAGAUUUAAUUAUGUGGGUUACUGUAAAAUUGCUCACUUUGAUGAGUCAUGUAUAUAUGUGUGAAAAAACCAUGAACCUUAAUUUUGUGAUUGAAGAAAUAAAUCUCAACACGGAGUCGGCAACCACUUCAACCCCACCAUAAAACAAGAGAAAAACGUACAAGAUCACUAAUGUGACAUGAAGUGUCGAGUGUUAGUGACUAUCCCUAGGUAACGAUGAAAAAGGAAAGCGUAUAUCAUUAAUGAUCUAUCUUAAUCAAAAGAAGGAAGAAUUAAGUUCCAUCUAUCAACUUUCAAACUCCAAACAAAAUUAUGAUGUUUGGUUAGAUGAGUUAUUCAUGUUCCUCUCAAUGCAUAUUAUUUAGGAUGGGAAUGAGCCUAAACAAUAUUGAAUGUUAAUACAAUAAGUUAGAUGACGGAAUGAGCUACCAAACUUGGUUGGGUAUCAAACCUUUUUAAAAUAUAAACAAAUAAUAAUUUGACUUGAGUGUAAUAAGUGCGUACCUUGGAAGAAGAAAUUAUGAUAAAUUAGAGGGAUAUACAAUAUGAUAUUAUACAUGUUAGGGUAACUAUGUAUCACCUUAACCAGUAAAACAUGUAUAUAGUGAAGAUCACAAUUCAAAAUUGAUAAUUAACAGAAAUCUCUGUUUUUCAUCAAUAUCAUUUAUUAUCGGAUCACUUUUAACAAAUUAACAUAACUUUGUUAUUUGAUUGGUUGUCCAACAAUUAUAUAUAAUCUAUAUAUAUUAUCAAAGAGAAUACAUUUUGCUGACCAAAACCUUCUUUUUUUACACAUAAUUAAGAAGAUUCUUAAAAUUUCAAAUACUUUUGAGGGUCCGGUUCAAGAGACACAAAAUUUGACACUAAUUUUUACAUUCUUUAUGAGUCUUUAGAAUUUAAGAUAUUUAACGGUUUAGAUUAAAUGUGAGGAUGACAUGACAUUAUAUAUAUUUUAUAAAAAAAGUAUUUUAAAUAAAUAAAUAGAAGUUGAUAAAAUUGUUUUUGGAGUUUUAUUAAGAGUAAAAUGCCAACAAAAAAUUAAAAGAAUAGAAAGAAUACGAUUACAAGAAUAGAACAACAAGAAGAACUGCAGAAGAAAAGAAAAUAGCUAUCAUGUUCAUCUUCAUUUAAUAUGCCUUGUCCUAAAAUCAGUUUAAACCCCCUUCACUGCAAUGCAAUUCUUCUGAUCUUUUAUUUUUGGUAAUACUAGCAUGUUAAAUCAAAAGUUAAAUAGAAAAAAUCCAGUUCUCAAUUGCGGAAUGAACAUCUCUUGAUUUCUUAAUUUGUGUGCAUAUCCCAUAAUCCUCUAUAAGCUUGUAUAGGCUUUAGAAACUGGGGUCCCUUAGAAACAGUUCGUUUUCUUUUUUUAUUGGUAUUAAAGGUCUCAAUAUACACACACAUAGAUAAAAUAAUGCGUAUAGCAUAUUCAAAAACUCAUGAGUCUCAGUUUUUAUAUUUGGAAUUUGGGGAAGAUGAUGGGAUGGAGCUCGGGAAGACGAUAUGAUGUUCUUGUUUCUUGAUAUUCUGUAUUUGAUUCCUUCCUUCUAAUGCCUUAUUUACUUUUUCAUCAAAAAAAGAAAUUUUAUUUCUUUAUUUUAGUUGAUAAAAUUAUGUGUUUUUACUUAUGUCGUGUCAUCCUCACAUUUAAUCUAAACCGUUAAAUAUCUUAAAAUCUAAAGGCUCACAAGGAGUGUGAAAAUUAGUGUCAAAUUAUAUGUCCCUUGAACCGGACCCUACUUUUUAAAUCAAUUUAUUAGUUUAGAUCAACUAUGACAAAUACAAUUAUGCCUGCAAUCUUACAUAAGAGGAGUUUUAUUUUUUUGCGAUGGUUGAUCUGCACAUUUUUGUAAUGUUUGAAUUAAAUAAAGUUAAAAAAAAACUAUGAAACAUACAAAAUUGUUGUACUAAAUAAGUAAACGUGAAAUUGUCUCCUAAUUGUAUGUGUAAAUGUUUAACGAUAUGCAUAUCAUGGGAUGUUCUCAUAUCAUGUAAAAGACUACCAAACCGAGCAUAAUUUGUUCAUGUAAUGAGAUUUUUGCUUAAAAAAAAAAACACUUUGGGGAUAGUUUGGGCAUCUCUUUUUUGCAUAAAACAUUUACUCCUUGAGAGAGGAUGUUCUCUUUAUGUUUGUCAGGCUUUACGACCCUUCCCCCUCCAUGUAUUCUGUAAUUUCAUUAAUCAAGAUUUGAUAACAGCCACACCAUCCCCACUUACAAAAAAAAAAAAAAAACUGUCUUUGUAAUCAAGAAAAUAAUAUAUUUCCGUAGUGAGUUGUAGUUUUUCUGACUUAAUUAGAAUAACCGACAUCGUAAAAGCUACUGAUUCAAAACUCACCAGCACCAUGGGAGUACAUUGGGUGGGGACUCAAAAAUAAAAACAUGUUUUUAUAUUUUCUCAAUUCCAACAAUUUCAUGACCAUAUUAAGUACGAGAAGGAAGGAAAACAAAAGUGUAGAACAAAGAGGAGACAAAUUUGGGGGAAAAGAAAAACAAACGUGCAACAAUAUAGAUCAUCAAUAACUUUAAAUUAUAAUUGCAUUGUUUUCAACGAAUCAUCUUAUCACCAUAUGCAAGAAAUGGAAUGAAUAGAUACUCACCUCAAUCAUUUGUUGGAAGGAAGAUACUUCAUAACUUGAUUGCAAAUAUUUUCACGGAUGCUUUUAUCAGUUGAUCUUUGAAGUGGAAUCAAACACAUAAAAUGUUCGAAGAAAUUACAGUAUUUAGUAUUCAUAUAUUUGAAUUAGGGCUUAUGGCGGCGGAGCUAUCAAGAGGGUAAACAGAAAUAUGAAGGAAUUUGUGAAAGAUAAGCACAAACAAAAAAAAGAACAUGAGAAAAUUUCAAUGAGGAUUAGCUAGAAUUAUAACGGAUGCUUUCAAAUUUAUAUAUUUUGAAAAUUAAGACUAGGGUUUCGGGCAGCGGCAUGUUUGAAUUUUGGGAAUAGGAAAAACGAAUUAAAAAUGAAAGGAAACCUAAUAAAAUAUAACAAGAGAUGAAUUGUUUUCUUGUUUUAGUUAUAAUUGUUAACAUUUUCAUAUUUGCUUUGGGCGUUUUUAGAAAUUUGAUUUGUAUUUGAGGUAUAAGAAAUAAAUGUGUAAUUGUGAUCGAUUGAUAGAUGAAUCACACGUAGACGUGUAAAUGCAUUGAAUUUGGAGUAAAUCGACCUAAAUCUAUGCCGUGUAAAUAAUAAAAGAUGUCAAACUGACCCGGUCAAAUAACCUGAUGGAUCGUUGAUAAUUAAAAUAUUUAACCACAGAUUAACUAAUGCUCAGUCUGGUAAUCCAAUCAUUUUGUAAUAACAAAUAUUUUAACUCAACCCAUUCUAAUGGUUUAAGCAGAGCUUGGCAGCGGUGCCUGCCCGAGUGUCGUAGUAUCACUUCCAACCCUAACUUGCUGUUUUUUAUACUUUGUGAUCCCAUUGUAAGCACCCUCUCAAAGUCAACAUGUUCUACACACAUCUCCGUAAACUUGUAAUCUUUCUUUCCACCUGUACAUAUUGGUAGUUCUUUGUGAAUUUGCAUAAGUAAUGGUACGUGAUCAGACCUACUGGGAGGAAGGUUUAUCACUCUAGAAAACCCAAACUCAUUCAGCCAAUUCGGAGAACAAGCCCCUCUAUCGAGUCUUUCUUUUGUGUGAGAGUCACUCCAUGUGUACAACCCACGUGCGGCCCCUAUAUCUGCUAGAUUGCAAUCAUUAAGAGCUUGAUGAAAGUCUAUCAUCUGUUGUAUGAUUCGCAUCCUGCCUCCCAAUUUUUUUCCCAACUCCAAAAUCUCGUUGAAAUCUCCAGCGACUACCCACUUGUCUAUCGAAUUGUCUACUAGAGAUCGAAGGAGUUCCCAUGAAGUGUGCCUCUAUCACGUGUCCGAGUGGCCAUAGAAGCCUAUAAAUCUUCAUUGGGUAUCAUCAGGACCAACUACAUCAGCGUCAAUAAAGAAGUAUUAUGUGUCUCGCACUGAGACUCUAACUGUAUCAUCCCAAAGUAAGGCGAGCCCUCCUUCCAAACCCACCUUAUCAAAGUGGGCGGCGUGUUGCAUCCCCACCGAUUUGGCCAGAGACUCGUGUUGCUCCUUGGUACAAUGGGUUUCAGUGAGAAAAACCAUAUCAACCUGAUGUUUUUGAAUUAGAUUUCACAACGCAGAUCUUGUUUGGCAAUUCGCAAUCUGGUGGCAGUUCUAGGCUAUGAGAUUCAUCCUUAGAGAAGCGUUGCAGCUUGACUCCUUAAAGCAUUUUGUUGGGUUGUAAUCUUUUCUAGCCCUUUGGGGGAGGAUUCUAGAGGUUUCCACCCAAUCUAGCUAUCUAGUAUGUUUUUUUUUGGGUAGGCGGGCCUAACAAGAGGGCAAGGAGGUCUUGAUUUCCUUGAUCCUUGCCGAGGCAAGUGAUGGAAGACCAUUGUUUUUUAAUUCUCGAUGUUACUUAAUUGUACACCAAUCGAGGUCUGCAGACGACUGAUAUUAUCGCUAUAUGGAAGUUAGAUAGGAGUAAUUGAAAAUCUCUAGUAUUAGGUAUCAAAUAAGCGCAUUUUACAAUGAGAACUCAAUGUCAUUUUGUGAUUUCUCUAACCAACUACAUUAGUGGUUGUAAGUAGGCAAUCUAUUGUAUGCGUCUUCUGACCGUGAAUAAGUAAUGCAAUUAUCUAUUUGAUUAAAAAACAAAAAAAAAAACAAGUUUUGAGUCUCCUUCGUCCUUCCGAUCAACAAUGUCCAUAACAAGUUUGCAGCCUCCUUCCAAUCAACAAUUGUUAAUUCAUGUAUGAUGUAUCCCCUUUCUCCACCAUCGACAAAAACCAUCUGAAGGACGAGAAAAAUAUCUUCCUACAGCCAAAAGAGAAUGAGCUGUUGCUUCUGCCACUGAAGCAGUUGCAGUUUCUAGUUCCUUUAGUAAACCGUGGUAGUGUUGCAGGGGUUGAAUGGUUGAUACAUUUGGCUGGCUUUGUUGCAAUGACUUGAAUAUGUAUGAACUGUGAUAGGUGGGUGGAUUUAGGAUUUAUCUCGACGGAUGAUGACUAGACGAGCUGAGAGGGUGGCGUUUUUUGGGUGUAAUCUAGUUCUUGGGUUUUUCAAUGACAACUGGGAAUUUGUUGAGACAAAUGAAAACUAAGCAAUUGCCCAGAUGAAACUAAGCAAUUGCUACGCACAUAUAAUUGCACAGGAAACCUUGCAAGCAUAUAACCAUUGCACCAACCAGCACGACAAUGGCUCACAAUUCAACCUCAAGUUUAUAUGGAAUGCUAUAACAUGAUAAAGUGGAAAUGGGAUGGAAUGAUUCAUGAUGGAUGCUUAUAAUGGAUGAAGCUCCUUCAAAACAUAGAAAAAGUAGCAUAUACUAAAACAACGUUCAGGAACAUAAUUGAAAACCAUGGUAAAGUAACUGGCAAACAAUCAAAUAAGGUGAGAAUCCAUCAGACAAACAAAGCUCAACAUCUCCCACAAAAUUUAAACUGAUUUGGCAAACUUAUUAGGCCUUAACAUGCUGCUGAACAACAUGGAGAGCUUCAUGAUCCUCUCCAAAAUCCUGCAAACCAGCCAGAGAAAGCAUUCUUAUUUGGAAGACAAAAGCAAAGGAUACAAUAACAUAUAAUUAUCUGUUGAACUUCCACCUUAUUGUGCAAGAACUUUUAGUAUACCUUCACAACAACACAUGAGCAACCAACAACCUUCCUAGCCUUGCCCUCAGAGUCGAUCUUGCACAACUGUACAAAACCACACCAUCAAUACAAAUUGCUACAAAUAUUCAUUUAGCAAUCAGUAUACAAUAGAGUUAACAAAAGAGAGUUCAUAGAAAAAAAAAAAAUAUCACUUACACCAGCCCACUCUCCUAGGGUCUUGGCAUUGGGAACAGUCAACAUGUUUACAUUGUGCUCAGCACAAAGACCUUUGACUAGUUUAACAUAGUCUUGUUGGUCACAGUCCUCAGCCAGCACACAGAGCUGGGCAGCAUGCUUCUCAACAACCUUUGCAGCCUCAUGCAGACCUCUAACAAGCCCACCAUGAGCCAGUGAUUUUCUCAGCACAAGCUGCACGGCUGUCAUGAUAUCCAUAGGCUCUCCAAGGGCUGGAGCUGGUGCUUCAGCUACAACUGGUGCGGGUGCUUCAUCACUGCACAUCAUAUAACACAAAUAUCAAAAAUGUCGGAACAUCUUUAUACAACAUGAGAUAACAGAAACAAAACAUAGUCCUUGCAACCAGCAUACAAGUAUUAAACAUGGUCUCAUAUCACAAAGUACCAGGCAUAGUUAGAAGACUAUAGUUUCAAAAAUAUCUUCACUAUUUGAAAACGCACUGCGGACACAUUCAAGUUAACAACCUUAGUGGCCAAGUUCAUCCACCAUUACAGAAAAGCCCCAAAAUAGAACAAUACGAACAACCAUGAUAGUAAUCUCCAAGUCCAAACUCAUGAAAAAAAAACAUCAAACCUAGGGAAUUCACUUCAAGACCUCCUCCCUCAACUGUUUACACAAUAUGAAUCAUAAAACUAUCUUUACAAAACCCAGAUCAGAUCUCACCCCUAAUCUCAUAAUCUGUCUUUCAAUCAAUUCCAACCGGGAUCAAUAAACAUAAAGUUCUACAAGAUAACAUGAAUAUCAUUAAAAAUCAAACUCGAUUCUAAAGUUGUCCAAGUUCGAAACCAGUUACUGGGUACCACAAAAUGGCGUAAAGAUUGAAACUUUUAGAGAAGUAAAGUCUAUGAAAGACUGAAAAUUCAUUAUCUAAAAAAGGGCAAAGCAGGGUUUACUUACCCUGACAUCUUUCCUCUUGUUGUUCAAACUGCAAAAUCAAAACCAAUAACAGAUAUCAACAAUGGAAGCCACAUAUAUUCAGUCUCAGCAUCAGUUCGAAUCUAGAGAGAGAGAGAGAGAGAGAGAGACCUUGAAGAUUGAAUGAGAUGAGAUGAGAUGAGGCAGCCGAAUGCAGAGAAUGCGAAGCAAAAUGAAGACUUGCUGGAAAGUGAGGAAUUUAUUAGGGCAAACCCUAAAUCCUGAACCCUUUCUUGGGCCUAUCAUACUUCGAAAGUUUGAGGCCUCACAUUUAAUAUGGGCUCAAGAAAGUAAAACGGGUCGGAACCCGAAACCUAAAUUAGCAAAUUAGCAGCAUUUAUUUCACGUCCAAAAUAUAAUUUCCUUUUGGAGAAUAACCAUAUUGAUAUAGUGAUGUAAGUCUCCCCUUCCAUCAGUAGCGUUCAUCUGGUCAGUUACUGACCAAGAAAAUUAUGGUCAAUCAUCAUUAGAUGUAAAUCCAAUGAUGAGAAGUAUUUAUUUAAAAUUAAGUUGUUUUGUUUUCAACCAUUGGAUUUACAUAUAACGAUGAUUGGAUCCCUCCUUGGUUAGUAACUGACUAAGUGAACUUGACUCCCCAUUUCAUAGUGUAAAGUUGUGAGUUCAUAUUAACUAAGUGUUUUCACAGCAUAUUUUUUUUCUUUUCUGGUUGAUUCAAAUCGUUUUGAGUUUGGAUCUCCUACUUGGGUUGUGGUUUUCUUAUGGUCAACGGGGUCCUGGAUUAUGGGUGGCCGAGCGUGGUUACAUUAUUGUAUGCACCACUAUUGUGCGGAGGGAGAUGACUUGGCCUGCGAAGUUGGACCAACUUUGUUCGUCUUUGAAUUAGGACUUUCCUUGUUGCGGUCUAGUCAUUAUUGCUCAAGAAAUCAUACAGCACAAUGAUAUAGAACUACAUUCUUUAAUUUGCCAAAAUGUCAACAAAGACCAAAUUGGCUUAAAUGGAAAGAUGUAGUCCAUGCGAAACUAUAUUCCCAAAUAAAGAGAUAAGUAUUUGGUUCAGUAGUGUUAGUCAUCAAGGGUUUAGAUAUAGAACAUUUGGUCUUUGUUUGAAAGAGGAAUGAGAAGAAUGAAGUCCUGAGGUAUCAUGCUCAGCUUGUGAUGCAAGGUUUAUCACAACAUCUUGCAAUUGACUACAAGGAGACAUUCUCUCAUAAUGGACGUCAUAACGUUUAUUUAAUUAGUCUGGUAGUUUUCAAAGGACUAGAAAUUCAACUCAUGGAUGUUGUAGCUGCAUUUCUAGUCCUUCGGAAACUACCAAACUAACUAAGUAGUGGAAUGCUAUGACGUUCAUUACGAGAAAAAUAUGUCUCCUCGUAGUCAAUUGCAAGGCAUUGUGAGAAACUUUGCACCAUAAGGCGAGCCUUAUACCUCAACACCAAUGUAGCGUCAUUGGAAUGGUAUAAAGAACAUAUUCUGAUACUUAAAAGGAACCAUUACCUUGGGUAUGUUUUAUCCAUACAAAGAGAUAAAAGGGACCAUAGAUGGAACAUCAAUCCCUGAAAUGUCGACGGCCGAAAAGAUGCCUUAAGGACCGUCAUUGAUGGCGAAAGCGCCACCCCCUAAACUAAAACCCCAAUGAUAUUUUGGUUGGUUUUGCUAAUUUUGACCCAGAUAAAGGUUGUUCCCAAGCUAGUUAUGUAUUCACCACCAAAGAACCCGACGAUAUUAGAGAUCAACCAAACAAACUCUUGUGGCUACCUCAUCGAACCAUUGCCAUACAUGAGGCGGUUCAUGAGUGUAUAUGGUUACGGCCCAACAGUACAUAUUUCGAGGGACUAGUAGUUUGAGUUCAAUCAUUGUAGCGUAUACCUGCAUUUAUGAAGGUAUAUAAUGCAGCUUGUAUAGAACAAAUGAAGCUAAGUUUAUCAAGGGUGAUAGUACAAAACACAUUUGCCAAAGUUUUUUUUUAAAUUAGCAUCUCCUCAAGAUUUAAGUGAAAUCAAGUAGGUCUAAGGAGAAUGUGACAAAUUUGUUUACCAAAUCGAUGCAUAAGGCUAUUUUGAGCAUGUGAAAAACAAAGGUUUGCGAAGACUGUUUGAGCUCACCUAAUUGAUGUAGGGAUCGUGGGGAGAUGUAUACUUCAGAGAGAGUUUAAUACAACCAUGCUAUCAUCAAAAGUAAUAGGUGAGUUUUGCUCUUUUUCCCUUCGACCAAGGUUUUAUUUUAUCCCCUCUCAGGUUUUGUUAGAUAAGGAGUUUAACAAGGCAACACCAUAUACACCGUUUUGUUUGACUUGACACAAGAGGGUUGAAGGAAAUACAUGCACAUUAUGUGUCUUCGUCAAAGUAACCGACGAGAGGAGAUAAUAAAAAGGAAAAAGAAAAUCAUAAAUAGUCUAAAAACAGUGUUGGAUUGAUUGUUGCAUAAAGCUAUAUAAUAUGUCACAUUGUUCCCAACAAACAAAUAACCUCCGAGAGAUUCGAAGCGAUUAUGAAGGCCUCAGAACCCUAGGUUUCGAGGUUUGGCGACGGAGGCGCAUCUCCUUUGGGCGAUGCGGCGAUCGUGAUGGCGGUGUGACCACGCUGACUGCUUGUCCGUGUUUGUGGUGGCAGUGAGAAGCUUUUCUAUUUGCCUCUCUGAGUAUGGUGAAGUGAUGGUGUGGAGCAAGUCGUGGUGCUCUGUUCACGACGAGUUCUCGGUGAAGGUAUUGACUGCUGAGGCCAUUCUCGUGAUCGAAACUUUCAUCCAGGCUUGCAUUGGAGGCAAAUCGGGCUAAUCGGGGGAAAUCUGACAUGGUCUAAGGAAGAUUUGGUUUUCGCGCAUGGAGGAUCGGGUAUUGGCAAUGCUGCUGAGAACUUCUGGCCUAAUAGCGUGGCUGCGCUUGAGGUCAGGGUCAACAUCAUUCCGAAAACGGCAGAUUCGACUAGUAUAUGAGUUUUUUGGUAGGAAAUCGGCGACAAGUUUUCUAGCAGGAAAUCGGUGACUCCGGCAAGGUUGAUGGCAGGUUGGUGUUGUCAUGGCAAUUAGAUUGGGAGGUCACCAUAGAAGAUGGUGGUGGCUGUGGUGGAUGUUGGUUUCGAGGCCUAAGCUUGGGCCAUGAGGUCUAGGUCAUUGGGUAAGGUUGAUGGGCUUAAGGACUAGGCUGUUAUGGAUGGUGUUUUGCCAUCCUCAAUUGUUACUUAGUUCUUUGGGCGGGCUUAAAGGUGAGGACCGACUUGUGCUUGCCGAUCUGACUUGGUCCAAGCCUAUCAUUGGAAUUCUGAUUUCAUUUGUUUAAUUCUUAGUAUUUCUCGUUGUAUACCAAUUGCGGUCUCUAGACAACUAGGUUUACUUUUCAAAGGCAGUUAGGUAGUGAGAUGAGUGUUAUCUUGUGUAGGUUCAAUAACUGAGCUAAAUCUGUUUACAGUGAGGGUAUCCGUCAAUUGUUGUUGUCAGAGCACUUUGACGCAAAAUGAUAAUUGUUGUAAAUGCAUUCUAAUAAAUAAGUAAUGAAGUUAUCUGUUAUAAUUUUUUUUUUCUUAAAACAAAUUGGCAUACGUUAAAUAGUAACUACAACUAGUAUUAAAAAUCUUCUUUGCAAAAUCAAUAAACCUAUGCUUCAUUUAAUUUGGGUUAUCUCCAUUUUAAUUCCAGAGAUUGACUUACAUUGCCUCCUAACUCGAAAAGCUACGAAACAACAUUAUAUUGAUGAAUAAAUAAUUAAAUUCCAUCACAGAAUAAAAUAACAUUUCCAGCCACAUGAACAAUCAUAAAGAUAAUACCCUAUGGUAACUCAGUUAUGAUUAAUUUAAUAAGAACCAACAAACAGACACAACAUACUCACACAAACAAAUAUGCACAAAUUAAUACCCAAAAAAAAAAAAAAUCAGGGAUACAUUUUCCCCGUUUGGUAGGACUUAAACAGUUAAACCCCAACCAAAACAAAAGGAAGCACUAGUAAUGUAUAAAUGGACUAUAGCGUUCUCUGUCCAAUUAAUGAAAUAUCUAAUCGUGCAAGAAAAGAGAAAGAAUUAGCUAGAAGCAUGCAUACAACCAUGCAUCACUGGAAAUGAAGAGCGAAAAUUAGCAAGAAGCAAGAACACAAAAAUGUAUGUCAGGAGAUAAGAUUGAGUGCAACAAAUGAAAAACAUCCAUGCCAUAACCAUCACUGGAAAUAGUAACAAACAAAACGAAUUACUAAACACUUACUAAAUUACUGAAGAAAGUUGGAAUAUGAAUUACAAUAACUAAUAUACACACACACAAUCAAUAUAUAUAUAUAUAUAUAUAUAUAACUAAAACAACAAUGUAAUAUGUCAAUUAAUGUUUCUAAGUCUUAAAAACAAACUUCUAAAUUAUGACAUGUGUUAUAUUAAAAUGUAACAUAAUUUAUAAAUUAAGCAAGUGCAAAAUGAGCAGUUCAAAAGCUACACAUGAGAGUGUUAUCAAUAAAAAUAUAUUGUAUUUAUCAAUUAAGUUGCUGCCAAAAAGUGUGUAUGAAGAUAUCAUGCACGGACAUACAGUAGAGAAAAAAGCUUCUAAUAUUUUAUUUUUUCCUAAUAUUUUCAUGUUUAAUGAUUGCUAUGUCCAUUCUCAACACCUAAACCAUACAAGACACCAGCAUACUUCUCUAAUGAACCACUAAAGAAAUUCUCUUUCAAUUUUCUGAAUGUACAAGAUGUGAGCAAACUAUCGGAACCUGCCUGGUGACAAAUACCAACUCUUUCCACUUCCAACAACUCGGCGAGCUUGUUCAGUCCACCGUGAAGGCUAUUGCAAAACUUCAUCAGAUGCUUGAUAUCAUAUAUCGUCGGAAAGUAAAUAUUGAUCAAGUUGAAGAACCCUACUUGCGUAUCUGGCAAGUUUUGACACGUCAACACUUUAAGCAAGUACCCAAAAUCAUACCCGCUAUGGAAAGUAACCCAAUGCACACUAUCAUUCAACACAAUCCCAGAUGACAUCAAAAGCUCUCCAAACAAUUUUGCAUCAAUACCCUUCUCAUUGUUCUUCUUGAAAUCAAUGCCGCUUUGGCGCAACAGCUCGAUCGAAUCAUUAGCGAAAACAUCCUCAUUUAGAUUAAACUCUCGAAAAUUGAAUUGCCAAAUGCACUGCUGGUCAGUCCCACACGUCGGCAAAUUCCCUUCCUCAUCCGAAAACGUAAGUCCUAGCUGAAUCAACUUGAGCACAUCUACAUUGUCCCUCAAUGUCUGGUAAUGGUAGUCAUAACUAUUUCUGAAGUUUCCCACAGGACGACAAACAAUGCCAGGGAACUCAGUGUCCAUGGCAACAUAAGGAUAGUCAUCCACAAUUUUGCGUAUCAAUUCAAACUCCUCAUCGAGAUUGUCGUUCCACACCUCCCGAAUUUGGAUUGAGUCGUUUUUCGGUAAUAAAGGCAUCCCAAUUUCACAAACAAUUUUCCAAUUGAAAAUCAAGGGAAGAGAGAUUCUUGAUGACCUGAGUCACCAAUUUAAUUCCACACCAACAAGUCUCACAUCUAACUUACCACAGGAAUCCACCCGAUCCGUAUAUCAAUCCCAAUCAAAUUCGCUACACAAUUCAAAAACAUCCAAAUCAUCACAAUCCCAUACAUAUGCAUGAUCAGAUAUUUUGUUAAAAAUCGAAUUGAACAAAGAAAAAGGUGAAGCUGAUAGCGAAAAAUUAUACCAACCUGAAUCACGGUGAACAUUAAUCAGAAAUCAGAAGAUGAAUGUUCAAAAGAGAAAUUUUGUGUCUUGUCAGCGAAAAAAGAAUGGGUAUAAGAUGGUUUUUCAAGAGGUCAAAAAUGGCGUUGAUUGAUUUUUUCUUUAUGGUUUUCUAACUGGUUUUUGUGUUUUUUUUUCUUUUCUUUUUUGGUUUGUUCUUGCUCUCAUGAAUGAGAGGCAGAGAUGAGAAACAAAGAACAAACAAGGAUGACUAGAGCCAAAGCGAUAAUAUAACAAUACCCACAGCUACAGAAGCUUCAGAAAAACAAGGAAAAACAAAUAAUUUUGAUUUUUCUUGUUGACGUAAAUUUUCAUGAAAUUGAAAUAGUUUGGUCACAAUAUUGGCAAGUGGCAUUUGGACCCACUCGGUCGAAUUUUACCGGUCAUUGUGAGUCCACGUUUCUUGUCAACAGUAAUAUGUCAAAGGAGUUUCUAUAAUGUUCUUUUGUAAAUAACUAAUAUUCUAUUGCAGAAGCUACUGCCCUUAGGGACAGCCUUUUAAAAGCCAAAGAGUUAAACUACUCUCAUAUUAUGGUUGAAGGAGACUCUGCUCUCAUAAUUAAUUGUGUCACUAGGCGUUUCAAGUGCCCUUGGAAGCUGCGUUCAAGACAUCAAAAAGAUUGCCUCUUCUUUCAGUUUGGUCUCUUUCCACCAUGUCCUUCAUGAGGUGAACUUUGCAGCCAAUGCCUUAGCAAAUCUGGGGCAGAAUCUAGAUAAUCAACAUUGUUGGGAAUCGAAUUUGCCGAGCUCUGUUAGGGUAGCAGUGAAUUUUGAUUUAUUUGAUGGUGGUUGCCCGAGGGGCGGUUCUUUGUAAUUUAGUCUUUUAGCUUNNNNNNNNNNNNNNNNNNNNUAAAUCGAACAGUUCAACCCGGUUCGGUUUUUUUAGUUUUUUUUUUUUAAUACAAAUUUCUAGUAAUUUUUUUUUUUUUUUUUCAGUUUUCACUUACCUAUCGGAAAACCGUCGAUUUGGAGAGAGGGCGGACUGGCGGUGGUGGUGGUGGCGGACUGGCGAGAGGGGAGAAGAGGGCGAGGCCGGAGAGGGGAGUCAGGAGGACGGGAACACUUGGAGAAACAGAGAAAGAAAGAUGAGGCAACUGGUAGCCUGUCCGAGAGGCCGAGACGCCGGACUGUCGGAGAGGGGGGCGAGAGGCGGAGGCCGGAGAGGAGAAAGAUGAAGCAACUGGCAACCUGUCCGAGAGGCCGAGACGCCGGACUACCAGAGAGGAGGGCGACAGGCGGAGGUCGGCGGAAAGGAGGGCGACAAACGGAGGCCGGAGAAGGGUGUCGGUCAGUCGGGAGCACUUGGAGAGGUUGAGAAACAGAGAAAGACGAGGAAGUGAGGAACUAGCAACCUUGUGGUUUUCGGCUGAAGAGUCUUUAGUGAUGACUGGGUUUUUUUUUUUUUUUUUUUAAAUCAAACCGAUGUCGUUGACCGUUGACUUCGGUCCAAACGGUUAAGUUCUGUUUUCACCGGCCUUAAACCGAAAAUCGAACCGAAAAUAUCUGGUUCGGCCCGGUUUUUUUUUUCGAUGCGGUUUUUUCGGUUACGGUUUGGUUUUCGAUGCCGUUUUUUUCGGUUUUCGGUUUCGAAGUCACACCCCUACUCUUAGAUGGCAGGCAAGAGUAACUACCUUAAAAGUUCUCUAAAAACAUAAGGAAUUAGAAAAGACUAGAAACCAAAAAAGCUGACUAAAACUAAAAUUACUAAAUGGUGUAGGGAAAUAACCUUAAACCAUAUACAAAUGCCUUGAGGUGCCCAAUAAGAUGCUUGACCCAAGCUCAUCAAGCAUACUUGACGCAACCAUUGAGAGGCCGCCCUUACCUAAUUUCGAUUUCAGCUCAGCGGUACACUCCACUCAUUCAUUGCCAUAACUGGCUCCACUAAUGCUUCGCUGCUCAAACCAGACAAUUCAACCACCAUCACUGGCGGAUCCAGCCUAAGGCUUGACUGGGCUGGAGCCCAGGUCAUAUUUUGACAUAUAAAUUUCAGAGUAUAUGUUCACCCAUCAUAAAAGUUGACAUAGCAGGUUUGGUUAAGAAACAUUUGUAGGUCCCAACCCACCUCGGUUCGAAUCACAGCAAUGCAGUUCUAGUUUUCUUUUUAAUUUUGCUAUCUUAUUUUUCUUAUUUUUUAAAUUAUCUCUUCCCUUAAUUCUCCUAUUGCAUUUCUCAUUUUCUUUACAAUUUUGCAUCCCAUUUCCUCUUAUUUCUUCAAAUUUUUCCUUAAUUUUCCCAAUGCAUAAUCAUCUCUCCUUUUUCUUUUAGUUCUCCCAUUGCAUUUCUCAUUUUCUUUACAAUUUUGCAUCCAUUCCUCUUAUUUCUUUAAAUAUUUUUUUCCCUUUAAUUUUCCCAAAGCAUAAUCAUCUCAAAUUGGACAAUGGGUCUUACUUCUAUGCGGUAUUGAAUUUAUUGAGUCUGUAGGGUCUAAUUUUUUUUUUUUUUUUAGUUAAUCAAUUAGAUAGUAGUUUUAGAUACCUAAUGUUCUUUUAUUAAUUUACAAUGGAUUUUCAUAUCACUUCAGUCAACAAAGGAAAAAAAAAAAUCAAGCCCUACCCAAUUCUUAAUCCUAGAUCCGUCACUGACCACCACAUCAACAAUCCAGUAUCGAAUCACAAAUCCCGCAUCAAAACCAGUAUUCAGAGCAAGGCUCGACGAAAUAUCGAUAUCGUCCUCAUAAAAACCGGCAACCAAAGCAAAGACAUGUGAAUCUAGAACCACCAUCAAGACAAGCUUUCAGAAACUAAAUUAGAUCGCACCAAUAACAAUCACCCGUCCGAGAGCAAAACCAUACCGCUUACGAGACCAAAGGCCCACGUCAGACGCCGGGUUGUCGCUGGCCGAGAUAGAUCUUGAAUAUAUAUUUGGAGGUUUGAGACGGCCCGCUAGGGUUUUGACAUAAAGGUUUUCAAUGAAACGUACGGCGGUUCUAGUAGAUGUUGUUGUUGAAGAGGGACAUAUAUUUGGGAUCAUUGUCUCUCUCUUUAUGCUUUUAAUGCCUUGUACGUUGUUGGAUAUGUUUGGUGCAGAUUGCGCUAGAAAAUUUGAAUUGCUCAUUCGCAUCAAUUUUAAUGAAAAGGUUUGAUUUCUUCAUGAAAAUAGAAACAUCUUCUUCCAUUAGUAGCUAGGAAUUGAAGACACAAUAUGAAUGCUUCCCCUUGCCCCAUUUCCUUACCCAAAGUCACCAAACUACAAAUAUUAUCGCUCAAUGGUACGCGAGUAAAUUAAUUUAUAUCAGGUUUUGGAUGGAAGAACAUGCAUCAUCCAACGACGACACGAACAACAACUAAGAAUCAUCAUAAAUAAGGGAAAGCAAUAAUCAUCACAGUACUUGAUAGUUAGGUAGCUAGAGAGAUUAACCAUAACCAUAACUAAACUUAGAACAUAUAUAUAUCAUUGUCUAGCUUGCUAAUUAACUCAAACGCUUAAUUAGCUAUGAGCCAAACUAGGUAAUUAGUUGACCAGUGACCUAGGCACAAUCACAGCCUUGAGAGGGUUCUUCAUGACCACAGUGAAAGCAAAUGUCUCAGUCGGGUCGGGUGGAGAACCGGGAACCGGGAACCAUUUGAAGGCCUGCACCAUUCUCGCCAGCAGCAAGUUAAUGUGCAACGUCCCCAACGUCCAUGCCGGACAAAUCCGCCGGCCGGCUCCAAAGGGCACCAUCUUCACUCCUUUUGUCCCCGUUAUGUCCACGUCAACUCCAUCUCCAUCCAAGAAUCUCUCGGGUCGGAACUCGCCCGGAUCCUUCCACAUCCCCGGAUCCUCCGUCACCCAUGCAGUGUAGAACUCCACGCUUGCAUCCGCCGGAAUAGUGUAGCCACCGAGCUGCGUCUCCUUCACCGCCGCAUGAGACAGGAGAAAGUGACUCGGCGGGUGUCGCCGGAAAGUCUCUUUAACCACCGCAGUGAGAUAGGUCAUUUUUUCCACGUCACUCUCGGUGACCGCCCCAUCUUUCCCAACACAGUCGACAAUCUCCUUAUACAGCUUAUCUUGAAUCUCCUGGUUCAUCACCAAAUGCAGCAAAGCCCACUCAGUAGUAGUAGCACUCGUGUCCGUCCCGGCGUUGACGAUUUCAGAGACAAGAGUGACGAGCUCUUCCUCUCCCAGCUUACCUCUUCCGGGCACGUCAAGCUCAAACAGCGAGUCGAUAUACGCAGCACCACUUGGACUCACCAUCUCCUCGUUCACAACACCGCCGCCGUCGAGAAAAGCCUUUCGGUUUCUUAUGAGCGGAACCAAACACUCCAACUGCUUCUUCCGUAGCUUUACGGCCUCCUUCACCUGCCGACGGAACAGCGGAGUCAGCAUCGGCAGGAAGUCUGGGAGCUUCGGUGUGGUGGCCAUCAUGACAUCCUUGAGUAUACUCUCAAUGACUUUGAUUCUCUCUUCGGAGAUCUUAGCUCCGAAGCAGAGGCAGAUGAGCACGCUGCAGAUAGUAAGUCUGCAGUUGCUCAUCACCUCCACGGAGCCGUGCUCCGCGGCCUGGGACAUGAGGCGCUUCAUAUGAUACCCCAGCGCCCAGUUGCGGAUCCAACUACACUGGCGUAUCCUGGUAGGGUUUAUAAGCUCCGUCACGAAGUUGCGGCGGAGGGUGCGCCAGAGAGGGCCGUACUGAGCGGAGUUGAUAGCACACUUUCCGACGCUGAAGAUGAGUCGGAUGGGAGAAUCGGAGGGGCGGCUGGCGAACUCGGCGCUCCGCUGGACGAGGCCUUCGUGGAUGAGGUCGGAGCUGGUGAUGAUGAUGAGUGUGCGUUGUCCCAUUUGCAUGGUGAAGAUUGGUCCAUACUUUUUACGUAAAUCCCGUACUACAAAGAUGAAGGGUCGACCCUCGAGGAUCACUUGGAUUAGGUUUCCCACCACCGGCCAGCCUGGUGGUCCUGGCGGAAGGUUCUUCUUUUGUUCGCCCGCGACGGAACAGUAGCGCCACCAUAGCCGGAGAAACACGGCCGCCAGAACAAGGAUUAACACGUCCAUUAAGUCCAUCUUCAUUGCACUCAACUGAAAACAAGAGACAGACAUAUAUAGAUAUAUAAGCUAAAGCUCGAUGGAGGAAUGCAUAAGAUAGAAGCAUGAGAGAGAUCGAGAUAUAUAAGGGCUGAAGUUGAAGUUAGGCACAUACCUUGAUUACACUUCUCAACGGGUCUCUUAGUUCUUGCACUAGUUCACUAGCUAAUAAGUAGAUGAAGUGAGUUACUAAGUAGAUGAGUUGAGUUAAGUUGAUGGGUAAGUUAUAGUACAUGUAUUAACUGCAGAGACCAGCAUAGCAAAUCAGUAAACAACUAUGCAUUGAAGGUCAUUCAAUGAGUGCCACAUGCUUUCUCUCAGGGGAGACUUGCACCAUUCAAGCAGCUUCACGUGGUCCUCUGCCAUUGCUGACCUUCACAUUCAAUUUCUUGCAGAUUUUAUCUGUUACUUCGUUUUCUUUUGGCUAAGUGCAGAAAUAAUCUGCAUUUCUGCGUUACAUGCAUCUGGUGAGAUCUAUUUGAAUUUUACAUCGCUGCCUUUCAUUCUUCUGGUGAGAUCUAUUUGAAUUUUACUUUUUCGUCCAAAGAUUUACAUCAAUGGGUUCCGCAUUUACAUGUAGGCAUCUUACAAACUCGACGGUUUAUGAUGGUUAUAUACGAAUUAAAGUAUAGUUCGAGUAAUAAUGCUUAAAUGUUAGGUUUUGGUCUCUCUCUUUCUCUCAGUGAUUAAUUAGGGGCUUAGGGCAAUGACAACUUCUAUUCCAUGGUCAGGAGCAAGCAUGUUGUUAAAUCCUAAUUGGUGUUGAGAGUGCGUGUAUGCGCGCUGAUAUAAGAGAUCGAUGGUGUUCAAAAAUAUAUCGGUUGUCCAUCGACUCAGACUUUCCGCCUGAUCUGAGAAUAACCAGCUGGCCUGCGGAGAAUUUUCACUCACCGUUGUUUGCUUAAUUACUUAGUCCGACCGACCAGACGCAAGAAUUAAGUUGCUAUGUAAAAGAUAGCCACGUUGAACUAGCAGAUGCUGCAGAUCCACAAACAUGCAUGGCACAAGAGGUUAUUACCUGAAGUGCAACUGCGACCAAAAUACAAAGACAUGACUUGCAAUAGCUAGCCUGUGUUUUAUAUCGGACAAUAUAAGACAAUUUACCAAUGUCCUACAAUAUAAAUGAAAUGCAUGUUAGUUAGAUCGUGCAACAUUACUGUAAACUGUGAGACAUAGGUAUGAGUAUAAUGUAGUUUGUUAGAUUGUUGCACAAUAGAUUUGAUACAUGGAUACGCAAAAGUGUAGGUUACUGUAGAUAAUCCUACAACUGGAAAUGGUGCGCGGAUCAAAUAAUGUUUGAUCCAAUAUUGUGAUAUUACAGUUUCUCAUAGAAAGGAAUGGUGUGGGAACGUUGGGAAUGACAUUUAGUAUUCAACUACCACCGGCCUAGGCCAGCUCUAUACUGCUCGAUUCAGGGACGAAGCCAAGAAUUUAAAAUUUUUUGGGCUAACUUUAUCAUAAAUUUUUUUUGGGUGCAUCUAUUGUCACCCCACAGACCACUUUGAUUACCCCACACGUCGUUGAUUUAUUGAAUGACUAAUAUACCUUAAUAUAAAAUUACAACAAAAGACAAUACGUUGUUACAAAUUACAAAUUUUUAUUUUUUUUAGAUAAACACAUACUUCAUAAACCUUAACCCAUAUUUUAUCAUAUUCGAUCUUUCUAUGAAGUCUGAAAAAGACGUACACUAGCAUUCAACUCAAGAUGAGAUGAACUGUUUGUAUUUUUUUUUUCUUUGUUGAUGUUUCAUCUAUCUCUUUACUCAUUGUUAUUUCUCAUAUCGAUUUUGUAUGUAAAUUUUCACGUCUAGUCGCUGACUUAUAUAUAUUCAAUUUGUUUUUUUUUUCAUUGGCGUUAAAGCUUUUUCCAAGUAGUGUUUACAGACAUUAUGCAUCUUGAUAUUGACAUAUACCAAUGAAUUGUUAAGUUUAAGAGUUUUUUCUUGUUCUUUAAUUGAGAUUUAUACUUUAAUGUGAUUUUUAUUGUUUAGUUUGUGAUACCACUUACCCAAAUGAUAUGAAUCUUAUGGUUUUCUUCAAUUUCAUUUUGUUUUUGGAGUUCAAUGGUUAUUGAAAGAGGAUGAUAUUGUGUGUAUUGCAAAUCGGUGGAUAAAGUAAAUUAAAUUAAAAAUUAUAUAAGUGGGGUAAAAAGAGAUCGAAUGUAGAGUGAACAAAGUAAAUCUGAAAUUGAAAAAAAUAUAUUUAGGGUGAAAAAAGAAUUUAGGGUGAAUAAAACAAAAAUGAGAAAAAUGUAUUUUAGGUAUUGUAAAUGGGUGAACAAAGUAGACUUACAAUUAAAAAUAUAUAAAUGAGGUGUGAAGAGAACGUGUGGUGAACAAAAUAGUUUGUGGGGUGGUAAUAGACGCACCCUUUUUUUUAUAUUAUAAAAGGUAUGCAGUGUUUUUUUCUCUUUUCUUCAACAAAAAAUUUAAAUGUGGUAAUGGUAAAAGUAUGAACAAAAUUUUUUAAAAAUAUUUUCAAAUGAUACGAAUAUAGCAUUAUACAAAUGGUCGACUAUAACACGAGUAUGAUAUAAUUAAGACAUAUGUAUAUAGAUCUUUCUCUAAUUAUAUGAUAAUUAUAUAAAUAAUUGUAUUUGAUUGUAGAAGUUUAUCAUGACUUUCAAUCCAUUCAAGUCCGUUAAUAACCAAUAGUGGGUAGUCAAGAAAAUAACUAAAUAACAUAACAAUCCAAAGUAAAGAGGGAAAAUUACAAUGAUAGAAAGUUAGAAACGUUAGUUAAGAGAGGGAGAGAAAAACUGGCUGGGCUAUUUACUAAUUUUUUUGUAUAAAAUAUAAUUUGUACAUGUAUUAAGUUGAUUGGGUAGAAAUUUUCCUAUGGGCUACAGCCCAGAGAGGUUAUCACUAAGAUCCGUCUCUGACUCGAUCUGAUCUUCCUUCAGUAAUUGGGUCUCUAGUAUUUACGAUUUGGGUGUAAUUUUCUGGUCUUUACUGUGACUAAAAGAUAUUGAUAGUGCAUCCGAAGGGUUUCCUUCAUACAAGAAAUUAAACUAAACUACGUGUGGUAGGAAAAAUUAAUAACAUGAAUAUGACUCUGAACCUUGUUAUAUAUGAUAAUGCAUUAAUGUAUAUGUGCAAGAAAUUGAUCACAAAUAGAACACUAGAUUAUAUUUUAACAAGUGAAAAUGUCCAAAUGAGCUUUAUUUGACUGUUACUAAUAAGAUGCUUGAGAAUACAUCAGCCACAGCUCAAACUCACUUGUGUGUUGGCCAUGAGUUCAUCACUCUCCUGCGUUCCUGCUUAUUAUAUAGAGCUGGCUUACAGCAAUUUUACAUGUCAGAGUUAGUUGCUAAAGACCAGCCUGUCCUGAAAUAUAGAGCAGAUAUGAAUUAGUGAACCUGCUGGGAUAACAUGUGAUUGAGCAUUCACCACCUUAUGUUGAAAAAGCUCUUCAUUUUGGCUUCCCAUAUCCGUUGACAUAGCAGUAUAGGCUGUAUGGCACUACAGUGAAAACUAAUGAAAGCAUGGUGGAAGCACUUCUGAACAGGUCAUCAAAGCUCCCACGACGCCAACUGCCCACCAAUUUGCGAAAAGAGGUAAGAAAAUAGAGUAUGGGGUGUUAUUUCAGGAGCUAUAUAUUCACAACGGGUGUAGGUUAAUCAAGGCAAAUGGGAUAUAUAAAAACUUACAUGUUUUACAGUCUAUGUUUCAUUUGCUUGCCCAUAAGACCAUGAAGAUAUUAAACCAAACUACAUUGAAACAAUUUCUCUUAAGCAAGGCAAUUUAGAAAUUUACUACACUCCGCCACAAGGAACCGGAAUCAUGUUGAAUUAAUUCAUUAGAAGUUCUGAUACGGUUACCAGACUGAAUUACACUGAAUGAAUAGAUUGGUGUUAAUGCAUCAUAAUAAUCCCCUUGCGUUUAACUGAUUGAAUAAUUUGUUUGACAGAAACAUGAGUUGGGAAUCAAUAGCUCAAAUAAUUUGUUAAGCAUCGAAGGUUUAUCACAAUACACAUUUUUAGCGGCUCGAUACCUAACAGCUAGAUAUUGAACCAAAAUGAGAACAAUGACAAACGGUUGAUCAUCUUCGACAUCUGUGUUUGAUUUUAUGCCUGAUCAACAACUUGCAGUGUGCAUUAUUUGAAUAUUGUUGACAAACAACAAUGCAAAAUCGAGAAUGCUGCUAUGGCAAAAUGGGGAAAUAAGAUAAAUUUUUUCUUCCACAAAAAAAUGUAUCAGAGGGUAAUAGACAACUACAGAGGAUCAAGUGUGUCCUGCGGUACUUCUCUCAGUUCUCUGAACCGCACCCAUUCUCUGAGGAGGCCACACAAUGUGGGUAACCCUUCCUUCAAUUAAACCCAGAGGAAUCUGCCAAAAUUAGCUUGAGUUAGCGAAAGUGACAGAAAUAUUGAAGAACGUCUCAUGUUAGCCACACUUGAAAAUUACUGUAACCUGCAAUCUGAUGCAACACUAUUGCAAGCUGCAUGCUUUCAUCAAGUAGAUAUAAGUCAUAGUAACUUCUCAAAGGAAGGCCAAUUACCUAGUCUGAGUGGGUUUUCACUACUCUAGGCAACAUAAUGGUUGGUAGAACUACUAUUUUUCCUUUCUAGAGCACAAAGUAUAGCAGACAGGAUAACUUACUGUGCCAAAUGUUCUUGAAUCCAUGCUAGAAGAUGAAUUGUCUCCCUCAACCCAGCAACGUCCCUCAGGAACUAUCGGCGGAUUGAAGGACUUACGAAUUCCAAUCCAAUCUCCAGGUAAGGCGGUUAUCCUCUUAAUAUGACACUCCUUAUGAUUACUUGGAGACCUGCAAAAUGAACCGAAAAAGGACCAAAGUCCUAGUAUAUAUCUCACCGAAAACAAACAAAUGGCAGCCAAGAUAUGUUGCAAAAGGAGAAAUACCGGAAGACUACAAUAUCACCAUGGGAAAACUGGUAAUGAUUAAGACAUAAUUUCUCCAUCAAAACAUAGUCAUCUGCAAAACAAGAUUGUAAUCAUGGUAAACAAACAAUCAUUGCACGAAAAGCAAAAUGUUUACGAAGAGACCAACCAGUUGAUAUGCCCAUAAACGUAGUCUUUUGAGGAUUGAAUGUAGGAAACAUAGAGGAACCCCGCACAGGAGCAACACUGGCAACACAAUCCGAAACACAGAGACCCACAACCCCGACCGAGAACAACUUGCCGGCUAAACUCCACAAAACCUUCCGAGUACCCAUGUCGAGGUUUCUUCACAAUGCCCAGAUUGAAGCAAAGCUAAUAACCAAUUAACAAAGUCAGUGUUCGAUGUCUCAGAGGCAUGUAAUCGAACACCUUGUGCGCCUUCAAUCAAGGAGAGAGGUAAAGCACCGGUUAGAUGAAUCUCCAAGGGAAAAGUAUUGGAGUAGAUGACGGAGAAAAGCCGCUGUGGGCGGUGGGGGUGUUGGAGAAUGGAGUUGAAAAGCAAAGAAGCGGCAGGAACGCGAACGCAAACUGUGGAGAAUGUUGGGUUUUCAACUAUUUUACCCAAAAGUUUUAUGGAAAGAAAAUUCGGCGCAGAGGACUGAAUGGCAUAGUUGAAAACUACAAUAAAAGAUGAGGGCGAAACCGUCAUUUCUGGCGAUUUUUUUUUUCCCUUAUAAUACAGGAGAUUACAACACCAAACCAAAUUUGAUUUCCAAUAUCAAAAAACAAACUCUAACAGUCGAGUUUGGAAUUCUAUUAAUCCAUAUGUGGCCAUCCAAGUUAGUGUCAUUCAUGAGCAAUGAUGUCCACUAGCCUCGACACAUUCUAGAAGCAAAUAGAAGAGAACGAUCUUGCAAUGUCUGCCGAUGAGGUUUUCAAUUUCGAUUGUAAUUUACUUUUUCUGAUAAAGAAGAAAUAAAUAACAAAGCUAGAAUCCAAAGCUCCUCCAAGGGAAAGACAGUUUGGCAAGGACUGAAAUUUUUUCACCAGCGAGUAGCUUUAUAGGGCUUAUUUGUGUGUAUCGCAACGAACCAUGCAUUUUUCCAAGCAGUAGAACUUUGAGCUAGUUGAUUGAUGUGAAAAGAGAUACCGACAGUAAAACUGCAUCCCCAUAAAACUUGUUUUAAGUUCAAUAUGAAACAAAGUACAGGUCUCCCAACAUUACAAGUUCUUUUCAUUAGCAUAAGAUCCGCAU